rnacentral:lncRNA from 1 species
ACAUUAGUCACGCCGCCGCUGCAUCAUUAUUCCUUCCGCUGUCCACCAUCCCAUCUAUUAAUUUCCACCACGUGCUACGCACUGUUCAUUGUCAUAAUCAUAGUUGAGGUCAUUCACAUCUUCGCGUGAUCCAAUCUGCAUCUUAUCUAGUUUGUCUUGGAAAGAAAAAAAAAGAUAGAAAAAAAGAGAAAAAAAGGAAAGAAAAAAAAAGAAAAAAAAGAGAGAAGAAAAAAAAUUGGAUCUAUCUAGAAUCAAUUUCGUACCUGAAUUCGGAUUGGAAUCUGUUUUGUGCACUGUUCAGUAAAACAGGUGUAUCUUCCUCAUACGAAGUCCGUUUUGGCUCCGUGAGUACUCAAAUUGAAGAUAGCGACGAGCCGCAUCUAAAUAGUUGCAGAAGCUAGUUCAAUAUUUGACAUCUCAAAAUCGGCUUCUAAAUAGGUCUUUUUGCCCUUUGAAGUUCGUGAACACAGCUUGUUCCAAUUUUUCAGGCCAGUUUUAGAAUUCUUUGACUCCUCAUAUCAACUCGGAAUUGAGUGAUUCUUUUUGCAUUGGAAAGCUUGAGUUAGUAGCAUUCUUUAAAAGAAUUUAUCAGAAAAUUGUCUCAAACUUUUCAAGAGGAAAGUUGGAGAGAGAGUUGUUGUAUAUCCUGCUUGGCAGUUGUUUUUCAUCAUUAUCUUCACUGCCGUUGUGAUCUUCACUUAUAUCUUGCUGUCAAGAGCUACUUAGUAUCCUUCAUUGAUGCUAGUUGUGCUACGCCGUGACCUUAUUAGUGUUCUAGGCUCGCGUCUCUAGUCCGGUCUAGCCUAGGACCAGCACAGUACCGUCGUUGAGCGUUUAUUCAACAUUGCAUCUUUGAAUUGAUUAUUGCUAAUCUUUUGCUACCAUAUAUAGCCAACCCAGCUCCACAUAUUUCUACACCGUGUAUACGUACGCUCCCCUGGCAAUCGCUUUACUCAAUAUUCGGAGUUAGUUGACACCGCUGGUUGCCGAUCACCGCCUGCUGCAUGGUAAGAACUUGUAAGACAUUGAUAUUUGCUUUAUGUGAGCGUUUUACCACCACAUCCUAGUAGUUAUAGGAACAUUAUUUUUGGGUUUUGUUUCUUGUUCUACUAAUCAUGACAGGAUCCAGAGUCAAUUCACGGGCUUUGUCGAUCGCGGGAGACGUGCCACCACCUUUGCAAAUACCACAACCGUCACGAGAGGUGCACAAACAUCCAAAUGCACAUGAUCAGGUUAAUGUAUCUAUACCACCAUUUAAUGGCCGUUUUAAACCUGCUUUAUAUAUUGAAUGGGAGUUCGACAUAAAAAAUAUAUUUGCUUCCCAUAAUUUCGAUGAACAUAAAAAGGUUAAGGUUGCGGUUGGUUCUUUCACUGGUUAUGCUUUGGUUUGGUGGAGUGAAUAUUGUCGGUUACACCCUGAUUAUAUACCUACUACUUGGGAUGAUUUGAAACUUGCCAUGCGACAUACUUUCGUCCCUGCUUAUUAUACUCGUGACAUGAUUAAGAAGUUGCAACACUUAAAACAAGGUAGUGAAACUGUAACAAAAUAUUAUGAUGAUUUACAAACUACCUUGUUGCAUUCCUCUUUAGAAGAAAGUGAAGAUGAUUUUAUGGAUAGAUUUUGGGGAUGAUUAAACCGUGAUAUUCAAGAGAUACUAAUUCAUGAAGAGUGUUAUCCUAUGGACCAUUUGUUUCAUCUUGCUUGCAAAGCUGAACAGGAAAUAAAACGACGUGUUGGCCACGAGGAGAACAAGCGCACGGUCCACAUUCCAAGAGUUGAUAUGAUUGUUCCUUCAACUACUAGGCAUACUAUGACAACCACAUCCGUUGUUGUCAGGACUACAUCACCUCCACCAUGUGACACAUCGCCCCCGAGAGUGGCUACAUCAUCUGAGUUGAUCAUAAGAGGUAAUGACAAAGGUACUGAUCUUCCAUCUCUACAUGAGAAUGAUGAAUGCCUUGUCAAUUUGAAUGCACCAUCUGAUGAGCUACCCACUACUUUGAUCACACCACCUAUUUUAGAGGACUACGUUGAUAAUUUGACUUUGCCAUGUGAUCAAACAACUGAAAUACCAACAAUUUUGAGUGCACUCAUUGAAUUAACUAUUGAUGCAAAAGAACCAAUGUUUAAUCAUUUUGAUAUGACCUCUAAUCUUGGUGAUGAUUCUGUGUUGAAUGACUUAUUGCAUGUUUGCGUAUUUAAGCAGGUUGUAGCAUGUAAAUUUGAUGCAAGUAAGGUUUAUUCACCAAUGUUGGGAUGGUUUAAUGAUGAACAUUGUCAAUUUUUUGAAAUGAAUAAGAGCUUCACUUAUAUGUGCAAACUGAGUUGCAAUAUUUUCAUGCCUUCUACUUCUUGUGCUAAUUUUUUGGCUUUAGAUUUUAUGAACUAUGCAAGUUACUCAUCUAUUCAUGUGUCAUAUAUGCAAAAAUCAAGGGAAGUAAAAAUGGAUGACAUAUACAUAUACAACAUGUACACCUUGUCUCUUUUGUUAGCCACAUUUCAGAUUAAGCAACGCCGAGGACGGCUUUAUUUUCAAGAAGGGGAGGAUGAUGAGGACAUGACUACCUUGGAUAUGACCAAAAAUAUUGCAUAUAUGCAUAUUUGUCAGGUGAUUUCUAGUGCAAACUAUUCAAUAAUCUAUUUAUGUUACCCAGAACAAAAAUACUUCACACACUUUUGUGUUUUGUCUAAUUGCAGGUGUAUGGGACAUUUGUACAAUCCACAUAUGAAGAUAAGGAAGAAAGAGAUGUUUAUUUGCUGUCCAAAAAGUUCUCUCACGUCACUUUUGGCCCAAGAGAAGAUAGAGUCCAAGUCUCUCACGUUCUGGAUUCAGAUUCGGACUGCACAGACAUACCUGACUCAAAACGCACACAAGUUUUUCAUACGGACUCCGAAUUGGGUGAUACUUUUUUUGUUGGAAACUAGAUUUCGUGCACUUUCCAACCCAAUUGGAAUCACCUUCAAAUUCGUCCGGAGCGUUGAGUUGUGGACGAAACAAUCUGAUGCUGCAGCAGAAUCCGAGUCAAACUACAAGUCCAAAGGUGUUACAUCACCUCCACUUGGGCCCAUUGGCCUUGUACGACCUAGAUUUAGUUUUAGGCUGCCUUGGGACGUCCUCCCACCUCCUUGGCCGCCACCCCUUGCUCCUAUAUAAGUAGAUCCAUCUAGUAGCUUUUCCUUGGGAUUUAUUUAGUUAAAAGUUAGCCAACGCAACUUCGUGUACUUCGUUUGUGUCCAACGACCAGACCAAGACCGCUUUCGGAUCCCCACCUUUAUCAAUACUUCAUACAUAUUUGCAAUAUUCAGAUUGCUUUUAUCAUAUUCUUGCUCGUUCUUCGAUUGCUUGCAGGAAUAGACCUUCGUGGUCAGGUUGAUCGUGCACCGGCGUGGUCAAUAACCUCUGGAGAUUGGUUUAGCGAUUGCUAAGGCGCAACGUCGUGCACGUUUGUAGUCGGAUCGUCAAAGUCGUCUCCACCAAAUCGAUAGUUACCAUCUCAUCGAAAGAUCGGGACACCCCGCCUCUAUCAAGUGGUAUCAGUUUUCAGGUUGCUCGGUGAGAAUUUCCAGUUUUCCUAGAUUAGAUUUACUUUCUUACCUAUUGUCCAAGAAAAAGCCACAAAAAAGAGUUAGAUCUAUUCAUCCUUGGUCCAAGCCAGUCUGAGCCUUUGCAAUUUUCUUUUCAUUGAUUGCAUAGUUGAAUUAUCGAUUGCAUCGUCGUGUCGAGUUGCUGGUCUUAGUGCCUAGUUCGUUUAGAGUUUCGAGUUCUGUUCACAUUAGUCACGCCACCGCUGCAUCAUUAUCUCUUCCGCUGUCCACCACCCAUCCAUCAAUUUCCACCACGUGCUACCCACCAUUCAUUGUCAUAAUAAUAGUUGAGAUCGUUCACAUCUUCACUUGAUCCAAUCUGCAUCUUAUCUAGUUUGUUUUGGAAAGAGGGAGAAAAAAAGAGAGAAAAAAACGAGAAAAAAAAGGAGAAAAAAAAGUCAGAGAGAAAAAAAGGAGAGAAAGAAAAAAAAAGUGUGAGGAAAAAAAAGAGAAGAAAAAAAAACAAAAAAAUCGGCACAAACUUUUUCAGAGGAAAGUUGGAGACAAAGUUGUUGAUAUAUCCUGCUUGGCUGUUGUUUCACCUCAUUAUCUUUACUGCCGUUGUGAUCUUCACUUAUAUCUUGCUGUCCAGAGCUACUUAGUAUCCUUCAUUGAUGCUAGUUGUGCUACGACGUGACCUCAUUAGUGUUCUAGGCUCGCGUCUCUAGUCCGGUCUAGCCUAGGACCAGCACAGUACCGUCGUUGAGCGUUUAUUCAAUAUUGCAUCUUUGAAUUGAUUAUUGCUAAUCUUUUGCUACCAUAUAUAGCCAACCCAGCUCCACAUAUUUCUACACCGUGUAUACGUACGCUCCCCUGGCAAUCGCUUUACUCAAUAUUCGGAGUUACUUGACACCGCUGGUUGCCGAUCACCGCCUGCUGCAUGGUAAGAACUUGUAAGACACUGAUAUUUGCUUUACUGUGAGCGUUUUACCACCACAUCCUAGUAGUUAUAGAAACAUUAUUUUUGGGUUUUGUUUCUUGUUCUACUAAUCAUGACAGGAUCCAGAGUCAAUUCAUGGGCUUUGUCGAUCGCGGGAGACGUGCCACCACCUUUGCAAAUACCACAACCGUCACGAGAGGUGCACAAACAUCCAAAUGCACAUGAUCAGGUUAAUGUAUCUAUACCACCAUUUAAUGGCCGUUUUAAACCUGUUUUAUAUAUUGAAUGGGAGUUCGACAUAAAAAAUAUAUUUGCUUCCCAUAAUUUCAAUGAACAUAAAAAGGUUAAGGUUGCGGUUGGUUCUUUCACUGGUUAUGCUUUGGUUUGGUGGAGUGAAUAUUGUCGGUUACACCCUGAUUAUAUACCUACUACUUGGGAUGAUUUGAAACUUGCCAUGCGACAUACUUUCGUCCCUGCUUAUUAUACUCGUGACAUGAUUAAGAAGUUGCAACACUUAAAACAAGGUAGUUAAACUGUAACAAAAUAUUAUGAUGAUUUACAAACUACCUUGUUGCAUUCCUCUUUAGAAGAAAGUGAAGAUGAUUUUAUGGAUAGAUUUUGGGGAGGAUUAAACCGUGAUAUUCAAGAGAUACUAAUUCAUGAAGAGUGUUAUCCUAUGGACCAUUUGUUUCAUCUUGCUUGCAAAGCUGAACAGGAAAUAAAACGACGUGUUGGCCACGAGGAGAACAAGCGCACGGUGCACAUUCCAAGAGUUGAUAUGAUUGUUCCUUCAACUACUAGGCAUACUAUGACAACCACAUCCGUUGUUGUCAGGACUACAUCACCUCCACCAUGUGACACAUUGCCCCCGAGAGUGGCUACAUCAUCUGAGUUGAUCAUAAGAGGUAACGACAAAGGUACUGAUCUUCCAUCUCUACAUGAGAAUGAUGAAUGCCUUGUCAAUUUGAAUGCACCAUCUGAUGAGCUACCCACUACUUUGAUCACACCACCUAUUUUAGAGGACUAUGUUGAUAAUUUGACUUUGCCAUGUGAUCAAACAACUGAAAUACCAACAAUUUUGAGUGCACCCAUUGAAUUAACUAUUGAUGCAAAAGAAGCAAUGUUUAAUCAUUUUGAUAUGACCUCUAAUCUUGGUGGUGAUUCUGUGUUGAAUGACUUAUUGCAUGUUUGCUUAUUUAAGCAUGUUGUAGCAUGUAAAUUUGAUGCAAGUAAGGUUUAUUCACCAAUGUUGGGAUGGUUUAAUGAUGAACAUUGUCAAUCUUUUGAAAUGAAUAAGAGCUUCACUUAUAUGUGCAAACUGAGUUGCAAUAUUUUCAUGCCUUCUACUUCUUGUGCUAAUUUUUUGGCUUUAGAUUUUAUGAACUAUGCAAAUUACUCAUCUAUUUAUGUGUCAUAUAUGCAAAAAUCAAGGGAAGUAAAAAUGGAUGACAUAUGCAUAUACAACAUGUACACCUUGUCUCUUUUGUUAGCCACAUUUCAGAUUAAGCAACGCCGAGGACGGCUUUAUUUUCAAGAAGGGGAGGAUGAUGAGGACAUGACUACCUUGGAUAUGACCAAAAAUAUUGCAUAUAUGCAUAUUUGUCAGGUGAUUUCUAGUGCAAACUAUUCAAUAAUCUAUUUAUGUUAUCCAGAACAAAAAUACUUCACACACUUUUGUGUUUUGUCUAAUUGCAGGUGUAUGGGACAUUUGUACAAUCCACAUAUGAAGAUAAGGAAGAAAGAGAUGUUUAUUUGCUGUCCAAAAAGUUCUCUCACGUCACUUUUGGCCCAAGAGAAGAUAGAGUCCAAGUCUCUCACGUUCUGGAUUCAGAUUCGGACUGCACAGACAUACCUGAUUCAAAACGCACACAAGUUUUUCAUACGGACUCCGAAUUGGGUGAUUCUUUUUUGGUUGGAAACUAGAUUUCGUGCACUUUCCAACCCAAUUGGAAUCACCUUCAAAUUCGUCCGGAGCGUUGAGUUGUGGACGAAACAAUCUGAUGCUGCAGCAGAAUCCGAGUCAAACUACAAGUCCAAAGGUGUUACAUCACCUCCACUUGGGCCCAUUGGCCUUGUACGACCUAGAUUUAGUUUUAGGCUGCCUUGGGACGUCCUCUCACCUCCUUGGCCGCCACCCCUUGCUCCUAUAUAAGUAGAUCCAUCUAGUAGCUUUUCCUUGGGAUUUAUUUAGUUAAAAGUUAGCCAACGCAACUUCGUGUACUUCGUUUGUGUCCAACGACCAGACCAAGACCGCUUUCGGAUCCCCACCUUUAUCAAUACUUCAUACAUAUUUGCAAUAUUCAGAUUGCUUUUAUCAUAUUCUUGCUCGUUCUUCGAUUGCUUGCAGGAAUAGACCUUCGUGGUCAGGUUGAGCGUGCACCGGCGUGGUCAAUAACCUCUGGAGAUUGGUUUAGCGAUUGCUAAGGCGCAACGUCGUUGCACGUUUGUAGUCGGAUCGUCAAAGUCGUCUCCACCAAAUCGAUAGUUAUCAUCUGAUCGAAAGAUCGGGACAACCCGCCUCUAUCACAGGGGGCUCCUAAGUCGGGGAUGGCUCUGAUACCAACUUGUAACACCCACGAUGCGGCUAUAUCUCCCACGUGUCGAGGCACGACUUAGAGGCAUAACCGCAUGGUGGUUUAGCCGCAAGUGGGGUAAUCUUCACACAAUCCCAUGUACUGAACAAGGAAGGGAUAAAGAGUUGGCUUACAAUCGCCACUUCACACAAAUAACAUGUUAAGCAUACAUCAUCCAGAGUACAAUCAAAGGUCCGACUACGGAACCAAAAUAAAGGAAGACAACCCCAAAUGCUAGAUCCCAGAUCGUCCCAACUGGGCUCCACUACUGAUCUACCAGAAAAGACACAAAACAAUGGUCAAGAUCUUCAUCGAGCUCCCACUUGAGUUGGGUUGCGUCAUCUGCACUGGUAUCAUCGGCACCUACAACUGGUUGGAAGUAUCUGUGAGUCACGAGGACUCAGCAAUCUCACACCCGCGAGAUCACGACUAUUUAAGCUUAUGGGUAGGGUAAAGUAAGAAGGUGGAGCUGUAGCAAGCACUAAGCAUAUAUGGUGGCUAACAUACGCAAAUAAGAGCGAGAAGAGAAGCAACGCAACGGUCGAGAAGCUAGAAGUGAUCAAGAAGUGAUCCUGAAACUACUUACAUUCAAGCAUAACACAAGACCAUGUUCACUUCCCAGACUCCGCCGAAAAGAGACCAUCACGGCAACACACAUGGUUGAUGCAUUUUUAAUUAAGUCAUGUGUCAAGUCCUCUACAACCGGACAUUAACAAAUUCCCAUCUGCCACAUAACCGUGGGAACGGAUUUCGAAAGUUUAUACCCUGCAGGGAUGUCCCAACUUAGCCCAUCACAAGCUCUCACGGUCAACGAAAGAUAUUCCUUCUCCUGGGAAGACUCGAUCAGUCUCGUAAUCCCGGUUACAAGACAUUUCAACAAUGGUAAAAUAAGACUAGCAAAGCCGCCUGAUGUGCCGAUAAAUCCCGAUAGGAGUCGCACGUAUCUCAUUGUCAGGGCACACCGGAUGGGAAAGAUAUCGGGUUAGCAUAGACCCUGGUUGCCUAGGGGGCGCCGGACAUUGCCCAGAUUAGACCAACACUCAGAGGAGCACUAGCCCGGGGGGUAAAUAAAGAUGACCCUUGGGCUUCGGAAACCAAAGGGAAAAAGGCUUAGGUUGCUAGGCAAAUGUAAAACCAAGGUUGGGCCUUGUUGGAGGAGUUUUAUUCAAAGCAAACUGUCAAGGGGUUUCCAUAACACCCAACCGCGUUAGGAACGCAGAAUCAUGGAACAUAACACCGGUAUGAUGAAAACUAGGGCGGCAGGAGUGGAACAAAACACCAGGCGUAAGGCCGAGCCUUCCACCAUUUACCAAGUAUAUAGAUGCAUUAAUUAAAUAAGGUAUAUUGUGAUAUCCCAACAUAUCCAUGUCCCAACAUGUAACAAUCUUCAACUUCACCUGCAACAAGCAACGCUAUAAGAGGGGCUGAGCAAAAGCGGUAACAUAGCCAAACAACGGUGUGCUUGGACGGUGGGUUAGAGGCUUGACAUGGCAAUAUGGGAGGGAUGAUAUUACAAGUGGUAGGUAUCGCGAUAUAGCGAUAGAAUGAACAACUAGCAAGCAAAUAUAGAAGUGAUUUCGAGGGUAUGGUCAUCUUGCUUGAGAUCCCGCAACGAAGAAGAACGUGUCCAUGAAGAAGACAAGCGGACGUAGUCGAACGAAACCUCACAACUCCGGAACAAAACCGAAGCUAACGAGAGAAGCAAACCGGAAAGAAGCAAGCAACAAGGUAAACACACAAGCAUAAGCAUGGCAUGAUGCACAACCAAGUAUGAUGCAUGUCCGGUUUAAAUAUGCAUGGCAUGGGAAAGUGCACAAACAAAACUACAAGUUAAGUGGAGUUCAAUAUGCAACGAGUUGCAUAUUGACGAAACACCACAUUUGAUUAUUUAGUUCACUAUCGUUUAUGUACCCAACAAUAUUAAAUGUUGUUAAACAUGGCAAGAGAAGAAGCAUAAUUAAUCUAACUUGGCGGCGGUAGUCGUUCACGUUCUUAGUCGCACAAGUUUCGUAGAUGUUCAGGGUCAAGGCGAGGAACUUGACAUCCACGGAGUUUUCGAGGGUCGAUGGUACUUGACGUCCAAGUGGUAUCUGGGGUACUUGGCAUUUGUGCUGCCCGGGUGUUCGGUGCCUGAAGUUGUACAUGGUCCACGAGUCGUCGAUCAUUCGGGGUCCGACUUGUGGGUCUUGCCGACAUGAAGUGGUACUUGGCGAGUCCGCGUAGUUGUACAUGGGUCGUUGCACAGGUGACGAAUCCGAGCCUUUCGGGGUCGGUCUUGGUGAGGGAUGGUAGUAGUGGUACUUGUCGGUCUCGGUCAGGGUGGAAAAAUGUAGUCGAACUUGAGGUGGUCUUGACGAUCCCAAAAACGCUCCUGCUCGAGGAGGUCUCUGCCUUGGUCUUCACCGGUAGUGGUACUUGGCGAAAGAGAUCCACGAAUGCGGCCUUGCUUCCUGGAUUCAGUGGCCUUGGCAACGACAAAAAGGGUAGCGGGGCAGCAACAUGUAAUGACGCAGGUGACAGGGAGCUCAUGCAGUGGCGUCAUGUGCAGGAAGAGGAGCAGGGUCAGGCAAUGCUUUGCUGGACUUGGUGCGGUCGCGAACGGGGGCUGGCGGCGGCCAGCUGGGCAUGGUGGUUGGGGGAUGUGUGCCUACCAGAUCCCGUCCAGAUCGAGAGAUGGGGAGGCCCUAGCGGUGAUGACGAAGCAAAGGCGGCGGACGGCGAGGUCCCGAGACAAGCGUCUCACCGGACGUCGGUAGCGGUGGCUCCCGCGAGGCUGGGACAACGUGGAAGGGCACAGGGGCCCGCGCUCCCUAGCGACGGGGCGAACACGGAUGAGAGGGAGGACACGAUAGAGAGGUGUUGGGCCUCGGCUGCUCGUGGAGGACGAUGCGGCUCGCCGGAGGCUGGGAGCACAGCGGCAGCGGCCAUGGCACCCGGCGAAGGAGCCGAAUGGAGGCAGGGCGACGGCGGCACUGGAGGGACGGGGAAACGGAGCGAGGCGGCGGAGUGGGAGGUGCUGGCGGACAGAGGGAGAGAUGGGAUCGAUGGAGAUGGAGUUCGAGCGUGGGUUCUCCUGGCGGCGUGAGGAGGGAGACGAGGGAAGGGAUCGAGGGAGAGAGAGGUUUCGGUCGGGGGAGAGGGUUAGGUUUAGGUUAGGUGGGCCUAUGGGGGAAGGAUGGGCCAAGUGAGGCCGGCCUGGGUUGGGCUUCUCUGUCCCUCUCUCUUCUUCUUCUAAGGACACAAGAAAAGAAAGAAAAAACAAACAAUAAAAAUGAGAAGAAAGAAGAGAUAGGACAAGAAUUUGCGCAAGCGGGUAAUUUUCCGGGACUCGUAAAAAAUGUGCUCGUUCCGAGAAAAUAGAAAAGGCCAUGUGAUGAGGACAUGACUACCUUGGAUAUGACCAAAAAUAUUGCAUAUAUGCAUAUUUGUCAGGUGAUUUCUAGUGCAAACUAUUCAAUAAUCUAUUUAUGUUAUCCAGAACAAAAAUACUUCACACACUUUUGUGUUUUGUCUAAUUGCAGGUGUAUGGGACAUUUGUACAAUCCACAUAUGAAGAUAAGGAAGAAAGAGAUGUUUAUUUGCUGUCCAAAAAGUUCUCUCACGUCACUUUUGGCCCAAGAGAAGAUAGAGUCCAAGUCUCUCACGUUCUGGAUUCAGAUUCGGACUGCACAGACAUACCUGACUCAAAACGCACACAAGUUUUUCAUACGGACUCCGAAUUGGGUCAUUCUUUUUUUGUUGGAAACUAGAUCUCGUGCACUUUCCAACCCAAUUGGAAUCACCUUCAAAUUCGUCCGGAGCGUUGAGUUGUGGACGACACAAUCUGAUGCUGCAGAAGAAUCCGAGUCAAACUACAAGUUCAAAGGUGUUACAUCACCUCCACUUGGGCCCAUUGGCCUUGUACGACCUAGAUUUAGUUUUAGGCUACCUUGGGACGUCCUCCCACCUCCUUGGCCGCCACCCCUUGCUCCUAUAUAAGUAGAUCCAUCUAGUAGCUUUUCUCUUGGGAUUUGUUUAGUUAAAAGUUAGCCAUUGCAACUUCGUGUACUUCGUUUGUGUUCAACGACCAGACCAAGACCGCUUACGGAUCCCCACCAUUAUUAAUACUUCAUAUAUAUUCGCAAUAUUCAGAUUGCUUUAUCAUAUUCUUGCUCGUUCUUCGAUUGCUUGCAGGAAUAGACCUUCGUGGUCAGGUUGAUUGUGCUCCAGCGUGGUCAAUAACCUCUCGGAGUUGGUUUAGCGAUUGCUAAGGCGCAACGUCGUGCACGUUUGUAGUCGGAUCGUCAAAGUCAUCUUCACCAAAUCGAUAGUUAUCAUCUCAUCGAAAGAUCGGGACCCUCGCCUCUAUCAACCUGGCUAUCCUAUUUUUAGGCCCAAAAAUCGAUAGUUAUCAUCUCAUCUUCACCAGUCGGGUAGCCACGCUCCGUUUAGGCCCAAAAUUUUUCGAAAACGCAUUUUUCGAAAAAAAUUCUGGCUAUCCUAUUGUUAGGUGUUUCUGAGUGUUUUGAGACAGGUGCCAUUAUAGGAAGUUUUUUUUGACCCGUUUCCAGUUUUUGGGUCCGGGCAGUCGAAAAAAAAAAUUGGUCGAAAAAAUUUCGUGCCCAUCCUGUCAGUUUGAGCUAGGAAGAGUUUUGAGACACUCGCCAUUAUAGUGAUUUUUCGCAAAAAAAGCAGCGCAAAAAAAAAGAGCGCAAAAAAAAGAAAAAAGAAAUAAAAAGCGAAAAAAAAAUUCAGAGUGUGCUUUUCCCUUGUUUACGUGCCGUGCCGUGAUUUUGUUAGUGUUCUAGGCUCGCGUCUCUAGCACAGUCUAGCCUAGGACCAGCACUGUACCGUCGUUGAGCGUUUAUUCAACUUUGCAUCUCUGAAUUGAUUAUUGCUGACCCUUUUUGCUACCAUAUUAUAAGCCUUCCCAGCUCCACAUACAUCUACGUCGUGCGUUUGACUCUCCCUGGUAAUCGCUCUAUCCAAGCUUUGAGAGUUUUUGACUACAACGGUUGCCGAUGACCGCCUGCUGCUGGGUAAGAACUGGUAAGAAUUUGAGAUUUGCUUGACGGAUUUGUGACACCCACCACCACCACUUGUUCGUAGUCUGUAGAAUCAUAUUCUUGUGUGUUUCUAUUGCUGCUAACCAUGCCAGGAUCACAAGCCGACGAGAUUGACUGGGAGAAUUUAUCGAACAAGGAGCUUCAUGAUAAGUUUCAGCAAAUGAUGACUGAACAGGUGCAAGAUGUGCUGAACAAUUUUGAAGAGGCCAUGGAGAAGAUCACUGGCCUUGAAAAGACGUUCGAAACAAAGCUCGAUAACAAGUUCAAUGAAUUGCUCGCGCGCCUUCCACCACCACCACCCGCUGCACCUAACGCACCUCUCCAACAACAACAACAACGACUACCUCCACGUCGCGAAGCAGACCUCCGCCGAGCAAGCCGUGUUCCUCUUGCGUUUGGCCAAACUGUUGGUGCUGCUGUUGAUACUUCUGUGGCUCCUGCUGCUGAUGCGGAGGAGGAUGAUUAUGUGGGAGAUUAUGAGGAUGAGGUUGAUCAAAAUCAACACUACGUGCAGCCACCUGUACCACCACCAGCAGGUCGACCUCAGGUAUAUAUUCGUAAUGGUAGGCCUGCACCACCACCUCAGGUACGAGAUGAUGUCCAUAUUCCUAAACUGAAAUUGAAUAUUCCACCAUUUGAGGGUAGAUAUGUUCCUGAUAUAUAUCUUACUUGGGAGUUAGAAACUGAACAACGAUUUACAUGUUUACAAUAUCCUGAGGAGAGACGAGUUGCUGCUGCCGUUUGUGCUUUCACUAGUUUUGCAUGUGUAUGGUGGUCUGAACAUUGUAGAUUAUAUCCUAUUCUAACUACUUGGGCUACUUUGAAAACUGCUAUGCGUACGCGUUGGGUUCCACCAUAUUAUCAACGUGAAUUGCUUCAAAAAUUGCAGCGUUUAAGACAAGGGAAAAAUUCUGUAGAAGAAUAUUAUCAGGAAUUACAAACUGGCAUGAUUAGAUGUGGUAUUGUUGAGGAGAAUGAAGCUAUGCUUGCACGUUUUCUGGGUGGAUUAAAUAGAGAGAUUCAGACCAUUCUAGACUAUAAGGAGUAUACUAAUAUCACUCGUUUAUUCCAUCUUGCUUGUAAAGCUGAACGUGAAGUGCAGGAUCGACAAGCAUUGGGGCGAACUAACUUUUCUGCAGGCCGACCUUCAUCAUGGACACCACGUGCAUCUUCUACUUCAACUGCACCAGCACCUCCAUCCGGUGCCACCUCCAGCCGUGAUACAAGAAAACAGGCACAACCACCAUUAUCUGCCAAGAGCGCACUUGCGGGGCCUGCACAGCGUUCUUCUUCUUCCAUGGCAUCAACAGGGCACACAAGUGAUAUUAUUUGUCGUCGUUGUAAGGGAGGAGGUCAUUAUGCGAGAGAAUGCAAAUCUCCGCGUGUGAUGAUUGCUACCGCGGAUGGUGGAUAUGAGUCCGCUAGUGACUAUGAUGAGGAGACUUUGGCUCUUAUUACACGUGAAGAACAUGGUGGAGAUGAUUCUGAUCAUGAGACGCAAUACAUGGCUCCUGAAGACGCUGACAGGUAUGAAUGUUUAGUUGCUCAACGUGUUUUGAGUGUGCAGGUCACACAAGCUGAGCAAAAUCAGAGGCACAAUUUGUUCCAUACCAAGGGAGUUGUGAAGGAACAUUCUGUGCGCGUCAUAAUAGACGGAGGGAGCUGCAACAACUUGGCUAGCAUGGAGAUGGUAGAGAAGCUUUCUCUCACCACAAGACCACAUCCACAUCCUUACUACAUCCAAUGGUUCAACAACAGCGGCAAGGUUAAGGUAACACGUACUGUUCGUGUGCAUUUUAGUAUCUCUACAUAUGCUGAUUAUGUUGAUUGUGAUGUGGUACCUAUGCAAGCAUGUUCCUUAUUACUUGGUAGACCAUGGCAAUUUGAUAAAAAUUCUGUACACCAUGGUAGAAACAAUCACUAUACUCUUGUUCAUAAGGAUAAAAAUAUUACUUUGCUUCCUAUGACUCCUGAUUCCAUUUUGAAAGAUGAUAUUAAUAGAGCUAAUAAAGCAAAACAGGAGACGAAUAAGAGUGAAAAUCAGAUUGUGGCAAAAGAAUUUGAGCAACAAAUGAAGCCUAAUAAUAAACCAUCUAGUGUUGCUUCUGAAAUUAAAUUGAAAAGUGCAUGUUUAUUUGCCACCAAAUCUGAUAUUGAUGAGCUAGAUUUCAGCAAAUCUGUUUGCUAUGCUUUUGUGUGCAAAGAGGCAUUAUUUUCAUUCGAGGACGUGCCUUCCUCUUUGCCUCCUGCUGUCACUAACAUUUUGCAGGAGUUCGCUGACGUCUUUCCACAAGACGUGCCACCGGGAUUACCGUCUAUUCGAGGGAUUGAGCAUCAGAUUGACUUAAUUCCCGGUGCUUCACUGCCAAACCGUGCACCAUACCGUACCAAUCCAGAGGAGACGAAGGAGAUUAUGCGUCAAGUACAAGAGCUUCUCGACAAAGGUUAUAUACGCGAAUCCCUUAGUCCUUGUGCUGUUCCUAUUAUUCUAGUGCUGAAAAAGGAUGGUACAUCACGUAUGUGUGUUGAUUGUAGAGGCAUUAAUAAUAUUACUAUUCGUUAUCGUCAUCCUAUUCCUAGGCUAGAUGAUAUGCUUGAUGAAUUGAGUGGCUCUACAAUAUUCUCCAAAGUUGAUUUGCGUAGUGGCUACCAUCAAAUUCGUAUGAAAUUGGGAGAUGAAUGGAAAACAGCAUUUAAAACUAAGUUUGGAUUAUAUGAGUGGUUAGUCAUGCCUUUUGGGUUAACUAAUGCACCUAGUACUUUCAUGAGAUUAAUGAACGAAGUUUUACGUGCUUUCAUUGGACGAUUUGUGGUAGUUUACUUUGAUGACAUAUUGAUUUAUAGCAGAUCUUUGGAGGAACAUUUGGAACAUUUACGUGCUGUUUUUAUUGCUCUACGCGAUGCACGUUUGUUUGGUAACCUUGGGAAGUGCACCUUUUGCACCGACCGAGUAUGUUUUCUUGGCUAUGUUGUUACUCCACAGGGAAUUGAAGUUGAUAAAGCCAAGAUUGAAGCUAUUGAGAGUUGGCCCCAGCCCAAAACGGUCACACAAGUGAGGAGUUUUCUUGGCCUCGCUGGAUUCUAUAGGCGUUUUGUGAGAGAUUUCAGCACCAUUGCUGCACCUCUCAACGAGCUUACAAAGAAGGAUGUGCCUUUUGUUUGGGGUACCGCACAGGAAGAAGCCUUCACGGUAUUGAAAGAUAAGUUGACACAUGCUCCUUUACUCCAACUUCCUGAUUUUAAUAAGACUUUUGAGCUUGAAUGUGAUGCUCGUGGAAUUGGAUUAGGAGGUGUGUUAUUACAAGAUGGCAAACCUGUUGCAUACUUUUCUGAAAAAUUGAGUGGGCCUAGUCUGAAUUAUUCUACUUAUGAUAAAGAAUUAUAUGCUCUUGUUCGGACUUUAGAAACAUGGCAACAUUAUUUAUGGCCCAAAGAAUUUGUUAUACAUUCUGAUCAUGAAUCUUUGAAACAUAUUAAAAGUCAAGCUAAACUGAAUCGUAGACAUGCUAAAUGGGUUGAAUUCAUUGAGACUUUCCCUUAUGUCAUUAAACACAAGAAGGGAAAAGAAAAUGUUAUUGCUGAUGCAUUGUCUCGUCGCUAUACUAUGCUUUCACAACUUGACUUCAAAAUAUUUGGUUUGGAGACCAUCAAAGAUCAAUAUGUGCAUGAUGCUGAUUUUAAAGAUGUAAUGCAGAAUUGUAAAGAAGGAAGAAUGUGGAACAAGUUUGUCGUUAACGAUGGAUUUGUGUUUCGUGCUAACAAGCUAUGCAUUCCAGCUAGCUCCGUUCGUCUUUUGUUGUUGCAGGAAGCGCAUGGAGGAGGAUUAAUGGGACAUUUUGGCGUGAAGAAGACGGAGGACAUACUUGCUACACAUUUCUUUUGGCCAAAGAUGAGACGGGAUGUUGAGCGUUUUAUUGCUCGAUGCACUACAUGUCAAAAAGCUAAGUCACGACUCAAUCCUCAUGGUUUAUAUAUGCCUUUGCCUGUACCUAGUGUUCCUUGGGAGGAUAUAUCUAUGGACUUUGUUUUAGGUUUACCUCGAACAAAGAAGGGGAGGGAUAGCAUAUUUGUUGUCGUGGAUAGAUUCUCGAAAAUGGCACACUUUAUACCAUGUCAUAAAAGCGAUGAUGCUGUUAAUGUUGCUGAUUUGUUCUUUCGUGAAAUUAUUCGCUUGCAUGGUGUGCCAAAAACUAUUGUUUCAGAUCGUGAUACUAAAUUUCUUAGCCACUUUUGGAGAUGUUUAUGGGCUAAGUUGGGGACUAAACUGCUUUUUAGUACUACUUGUCACCCCCAAACUGAUGGACAAACUGAAGUAGUCAAUAGAACGUUGUCUACUAUGCUUAGGGCCGUUUUGAAGAAUAAUAAGAAAAUGUGGGAGGAAUGCUUGCCUCAUAUUGAAUUUGCUUAUAAUCGUUCAUUGCAUUCUACUACUAAGAUGUGCCCAUUUGAAGUUGUGUAUGGUUUCCUACCUCGUGCACCUAUUGAUUUGUUGCCUCUUCCAUCUUCGGAGAAGGUUAAUUUUGAUGCUAAACAACGUGCUGAAUUGAUUUUAAAAAUGCAUGAGUUAACUAAGGAAAACAUUGAGCGUAUGAAUGCUAAAUAUAAACUUGCUGGAGAUAAGGGUAGAAAACAUGUUGUGUUUGCACCUGGAGAUCUUGUUUGGUUACAUUUGCGUAAGGAUAGAUUUCCUGAUUUGCGCAAAUCAAAGCUAAUGCCACGUGCUGAUGGUCCCUUUAAGGUGUUAGAGAAAAUAAAUGAUAAUGCAUAUAAACUUGAGUUGUCUGCAGAUUUUGGGGUUAGUCCCACUUUUAACAUUGCAGAUUUGAAGCCUUAUUUGGGUGAGGAAGAUGAACUUCCGUCGAGGACGACUUCAUUUCAAGAAGGGGAGGAUGAUGAGGACAUCAAUACAAUUGUUACACCCACAGCCCCUGCUGCUAUACAUACUGGACCAAUUACUAGAGCCCGUGCACGCCAACUAAAUUACCAGGUACUUUCGUUUCUUGGUAAUGAUUCUAAUGUUCAUGAGAAUAUGAUGCUGCCUAAAUUGGAUACAUUUGUUUUGCUUACAAAUGAAGGGCCUAGCUUGGAGAAGGAUGAACAUUGGAGCAAGAACAAGCAUGGAGAUGAUGGCAUGCGCAAGGGGAACAAGAACGGAGUUACAAGUGAUGAUUUCAGGACUUUGAAGCCACCAUAAUGGGUGCAUGAAGCCUUGGACGAAAUAUACAAGAUGCCACUUCAUAAAUUUCGUCCCGAGGCUAUUUUAGGUGCUGCGUCACCUUAUUAUGGGGCCAGGCCCAUGUAAUUUCGAAAUACAUAAGUAUAGGCUAUUUUUAGAGUCCGUAUGUGUGGGGAAACAAGAGAUAGGGUUGAUUUCGGACCCCUCCACCAAGGGCCACGAAAUUCCCCCCUCUUCCUCCAUAUAUUGAUAGAGGCAAAGGUGUCCCGUCUUCCGAUGAGAUGGUGGAUUUCGCUUUGGUGGAAGUCGACUUUGACGAUCCGACUACGAACGUGCGAGGACGUCGCGCCUUAGCAAUCGCUAAACCAACUCCGAGAGGUUAUUGACCACGCCGGAGCACGAUCAACCUGACCACGAAGGUCUGUUUCCUGCGAGCAAACGAAGAACAAGCAAGAAACUAAGAUUGCAAUCUGGAUAUUGCGAAUAUAAGAUGAAAGCUUUAUUGAUCAAGGUGGGGUUCUGUGACGCCUUUGUCUGGUCGUUGAACACAAACGAAGUACGCGAAGUUGCAGCUAUGGCGAACUUUUAAUCUAAACAAAACCCAAAGUCUAAACGAUGCCCUAAGGGCUGUAUAUAUGGAGGAAGAGGGGGGGAAUUUCGUGGCCCUUGGUGGAGGGGUCCGAAAUCAACCCUAUCUCUUGUUUCCCCACACAUACGGACUCUAAAAANNNNNNNNNNNNNNNNNNNNNNNNNNNNNNNNNNNNNNNNNNNNNNNNNNNNNNNNNNNNNNNNNNNNNNNNNNNNNNNNNNNNNNNNNNNNNNNNNNNNCAUUUUCGAGGUGCUCAAAAUCCUCAAGGAGUCUAGCAUGAGCAACUUCAAGCUUAGCAUUUUUAGUUUCAAAAACAUUGGCCACCUUAAGAGCUCUAUCAGUAGAUUCCUUCACUUUAGACAAUUCUAGAGCAAAAGUCUCCUCAAGAGAUUCCUUGGUGGUUUGUUCAAGUUCAAGGGCUUGAGAGAGGUCCGCAAUCUCAUUUGCGUAAUCACGCCCAUGAGCUUCCAUUUUCUCAAUGGUGACCUCAUGCUCCUCGAGAUGAGAUUCCAACUCCUCAAUAUAUUUCUUGCCCUCAAUGGCAAUGGACAUAAUUUCCAUGAAGUUGGAACGAGCAAUUUUAUUUUUAUGAAGAGCUUUAAAAAUCAUCUCCCCCUUAGUUUUUAAGGAGGCAACAUUAUUAUUCUCUUCAUCAUUAUCCUCAUCAUCAUUAGCAUCAACAUCAUCAUCAAGAGACAUAUUGGGGUUCAAAGUAGGAGAUACCUUUGACGCCUUAGCCAUAAGGCAAAAAGCAAUAGAUGAUGAUGUAGGGUCCCUUGAGGCACCAUUAGACACCACAUCUUGUUCCAUGGAGUGUUCGGUUUCCUCUACAUUGUUAGCAUAACAAUUCGAGGAAAUAGAUGCAUUUUUAUCAUGGCAACAAGACAUAGCAAGCAUAUCAUCAUGAGAUUUAGUCAAGCAAUUUCUACAUGAUAUGCAAGGACUAUGAACACAAGCAUGUGAAACAUUUGGAGUGCUCGAAGUGUUAAAGCCCAAAGAGGGAGCAUUGCAAUAAUAUAGUGAUGAAGGAUCAUCCACAAUAAGCAUACUAUCAUCAUUGCAAUGACCAACACUACUCACCAUAUCAUUACCUUGUGGCAAACCACAUGUAGGUGAAGUAGAAGAAGUUGAGAACACUAUAUGACCGGAGGUGGAGGGAGAACAACCAUCCCCACAAAUCUUGGACACACCAUAUUUAUCUUGAAGCUUUGUCCAUAACUCAUGAGCAUCCCGGAACGACAUGUGUUGAAAUAUAACUACAUUGCUCAAAGCAUCGGAAAGCACAUUAGAGGCUUGAGCAUUGAGAUAAGAGUUUUUCUCUUCCUCUAAAGAUAAUCUUUGGGGAUCCUUUGGAGGAGAAAAACCCAUAUCUACAAUUCGCUCUAAAUUUGGGUCCAUGACCCUAAAGAGAUUAAGCAUGCGAAUUACCCAAACAUCAAAAUUUGUGCCAUCGAAACUAAGAGUGUCAGAGAAUCCUAAUCCUCUAGUCGACAUCUUUACUCUCUAGGCGGUUAAGCCCAACAAAGAGAGACGAGGCUCUGAUACCAAUUGAAAGAUCGAGGAUGUCGCCUAGAGGGGGGGUGAAUAGGCGUUUUAAAAUAAUUACGGUUUAGGCUUGAACAAAUGCGGAAAAAACCUAGCGGUUAAUUUGUCAAGAAUAAAACCUAAAACAACUAGGCUCACCUAUGUGCACCAACAACUUAUGCUAAGCAAGAUAAGCAACUAUGUGAUAGCAAGAUAUAUGACAAAGAACAAUAUGGCUAUCACAAAGUAAGGUGCAUAAGUAAAGGGCUCGGGUAAGAGAUAACCAAGGCACGCGGAGACGACGAUGUAUCCCGAAGUUCACACCCUUGCGGAUGCUAAUCUCUGUUUGGAGCGGUGUGGAGGCACAAUGCUCCCCAAGAAGCCACUAGGGCCACCGUAAUCUCCUCACGCCCUCGCACAAUGCAAGAUGCCGUGAUUCCACUAAGGGACCCUUGAGGGCGGUCACCGAACCCGUACAAAUGGCAACCCUUGGGGGCGGUCACCGAACCCGUACACUUUGGAAACCCUUGGGGGCGGUCACCGGAACCCGUCAAGAUGCUCGGGGCGAUUUCCACAACCUAAUUGGAGACCCCGACGCUUGCCCGGAGCUUUACACCACAAUGAUUGAGCUCCGAACACCACCAACCAUCUAGGGCGCCCAAGCACCCAAGAGGAACAAGCUCAAGGGCACCAAGCACCCAAGAGUAAUAAGCUUCUCAAACUUCACUUCCACGUAUCACCGUGGAGAACUCAAACCGAUGCACCAAAUGCAAUGGCAAGGGCACACGGAGUGCCUAAGUCCUUCUCUCUCAAAUCCCACCGAAGCAACUAAUGCUAGGGAGGAAAAUGAGAGGAAGAACAAGAAGGAGAACACCAAGAACUCCAAGAUCAAGAUCCAAGGGGUUCCCCUCACAUAGAGGAGAAAGUGAUUGGUGGAAAUGUGGAUCUAGAUCUCCUCUCUCUUUUCCCUCAAAAACUAGCAAGAAACCAUGGAGGGAUUGAGAGUUAGCAAGCUCGAAGAAGGUCAACAAUGGGGGAAGAACACAAGCUCAAAGGAUUGGACUCAAUGGGGAAGAAGACCCCCUUUUAUAGGAGGGGAGAAAAUCCAACCGUUAUCCCCUCACUCAGCCCGCACAACGCGGUACUACCGCACCAGGGGCGCGGUACUACCGCGAGGCUGCGCGGUACUACCGUGGAGGACCACGGUACUACUGCGACAGCAGCAUAGGCCGGAACUUGCCUGACUAGGGGGCAGUACUACCGCUUGCGCGGUACUACCGCGCCCCCUUGCGGUACUACCGCAAGGUAGGAAAGUCUCAGCCUGGGAAGGGCGCGGAUGAAAUAAAUUACAUCCGUGCCUACUUCCGCUGAGGGAGGACCUGCGCAAAAACUCCGGCACGGUACUACCGCACACGAAGAGCGGUACUACCGCGUAGGGCGCGGAUGUAAAAAAUUACAUCCGCCCCUACGUCCGCUCAUGCUGCUGAGCCUGGCCAGAGCCCACGGUACUACCGCGCCCAUGGCGCGGAUGUAAAAAAUUACAUCCGCCCCUACUACCGCUCGAGCAGCUGCGCCUGGCCUGAGGUCACGGUAGUACCGCUCCAACAGAGCGGUACUACCGCAAGGACCUGCGGUACUACCGCUCCAAAGAGCAGUACUACCGCAUGCCCUAGAUCAGCAACACUAGCAGUCCUUCAUUUUGCAGAGAAGACAACGGGGGUAACAAUAAAAUCAGAACUGCCAUAACUUCCGCAAAUGAGCUCCGAAUUGAGAAAACUCAAGCUUGUUGGAUACAAGACAACGAGUAGCAUCAAAACAGAGACUGGUUAGAAAGAAGAGGCAGAGGAGGUAUGCCUAACAAGAGAGGAGAGAAACCUCCAACAGAGAAGAACCGGCAUACCCUCCAACAUCGAAAACAUCAUAGAAGACGCAUGUGAACUCCGUUUUCGAUGAACUCGAGCUUGUCAUAAAAAUGACCAAAAGCUCCAAAACUCACAAGGAGAAGAACCAAACAAGAACCAAUAAGGAUGAUGCAAGGAUGCAAUGGUUUGAGCUCUCUACGAACGAUACGAUCAAGCAACUCAUCGAGAGCCCCCCUUGAUAGUACGGCAAUCGAUCCUAUAACCCGGUCUCCCACAACUACCAUGAGACCGGUAAAAUAGAAAACCUAUCAAGGGCAAACCUUUGCCUUGCACAAAGUCCACUUGAGCUAGAUGAUGAUGAUCUGCUCCUCCUCAAGAUGGACCACCUUUCUUGAUUGCGUUGGCUCGAUGAAGACUAGUUGAUUGCUCCCCCAUACUCCACUAUGGGUGAGCCACUCUUCCGCUCAUCUUCACAACUCCAUUGUCACCACAAUGGACGGCAAGCUUCAAGCACUUGAUCUCUUCAUGAUACAUCACUUGAACUUGCACACCGCAACCUAACCCCAUAAAGAACUCUCACGAAGACCAUGGGUUAGCACACAAAGUGUAAUGGACAAUGCUUACCAUACCAUGGGACUUGAUCCCUCGGUACAUCUUGUGCGCUUUGUGUGUUGACUCUUUUCAACUCUCUUCAUUUGGAUGAUGUCUUGAAGGUGGACAUGAAUGAUCACACAAUCUUAUUCUUCAAGACAUGCUUGCAAUAAGCUCAACACUCACAUGACCGAUCUUUGGAUAAUUCCUUAAAAGGACGAUGGUCAUCACAAACUCUCCUUGAAACCAACACAUGGACUCCAAGAAAAGCCUAUGGACAAACCCUUCAAAUACAACUCAAGGAAACCAUUAGUCCAUAGAGAUUGUCAUCAAUUACCAAAACCAAACAUGGGGGCACCGCAUGUUCUUUCAGGGACUAAACUGCUUUUUAGUACUACUUGUCACCCCCAAACUGAUGGACAAACUGAAGUAGUCAAUAGAACGUUGUCUACUAUGCUUAGGGUUGUUUUGAAGAAUAAUAAGAAAAUGUGGGAGGAAUGCUUGCCUCAUAUUGAAUUUGCUUAUAAUCGUUCAUUGCAUUCUACUACUAAGAUGUGCCCUUUUGAAGUUGUGUAUGGUUUCCUACUUCGUGCACCUAUUGAUUUGUUGCCUCUUCCAUCUUCGGAGAAGGUUAAUUUUGAUGCUAAACAACAUGCUGAAUUGAUUUUAAAAAUGCAUGAGUUAACUAAGGAAAACAUUGAGCGUAUGAAUGCUAAAUAUAAACUUGCUGGAGAUAAGGGUAGAAAACAUGUUGUGUUUGCACCUGGAGAUCUUGUUUGGUUACAUUUGCGUAAGGAUAGAUUUCCGGAUUUGCACAAAUAAAAGUUAAUGCCACGUGCUGAUGGUCCCUUUAAGGUGUUAGAGAAAAUAAAUGAUAAUGCAUAUAAACUUGAGCUGCCUGCAGAUUUUGGGGUUAGUCCCACUUUUAACAUUGCAGAUUUGAAGCCUUAUUUGGGUGAGGAAGAUGAACUUCCGUCGAGGACGACUUUAUUUCAAGAAGGGGAGGAUGAUGAGGACAUCAAUACAAUUGUUACACCCACAACCCCUGCUGCUAUAAAUACUGGACCAAUUACUAGAGCUCGCGCACGCCAACUAAAUUACCAGGUACUUUCGUUUCUUGGUAAUGAUUCUAAUGUUCAUGAGAAUAUGAUGCUGCCUAAAUUGGAUACAUUUGUUUUGCUUACAAAUGAAGGGCCUAGCUUGGAGAAGGAUGAACAUUGGAUUAAGAACAAGCAUGGAGAUGAUGGCAUGCGCAAGGCGAACAAGAACGGAGUUACAAGUGAUGAUUUCAGGACUUUGAAGCCACCAUAAUGGGUGCAUGAAGCCUUGGACGAAAUAUACAAGAUGCCACUUCAUAAAUUUCGUCCCGAGGCUAUUAUAGGUGCUGCGUCACCUUAUUAUUGGGCCAGACCCAUGUAAUUUCGAAAUACAUAAGUAUAGGCUAUUUUUAGAGUCCGUAUGUGUGGGGAAACAAGAGAUAGGGUUGAUUUCGGACCCCUCCACCAAGGGUCACGAAAUUCCCCCCUCUUCCUCCAUAUAUACAGCCCUUAGGGCAUCGUUUAGACUUUGGGUUUUGUUUAGAUUAAAAGUUCGCCAUAGCUGCAACUUCGUGUACUUCGUUUGUGUUCAACGACCAGACAAAUGCAUCACAGAACCCCACCUUGAUCAAUAAAGCUUUCAUCUUAUAUUCGCAAUAUCCAGAUUGCAAUCUCAGUUUCUUGCUUGUUCUUCGUUUGCUCGCAGGAAACAGACCCUCGUGGUCAGGUUGAUCGUGCUCUGGCGUGGUCAAUAACCUCUCGGAGUUGAUUUAGCGAUUGCUAAGGCGCGACGUCCUCGCACGUUCGUAGUCGGAUCGUCAAAGUCGACUGCCACCAAAGCGAUAUCCAUCAUCUCAUCGAAAGACGGGACACCUUUGCCUCUAUCACCCAGUCUAAUGGUCAAGCAGAGAGGGCAAAUCAAGAAAUUUUGAGAGGUAUUAAACCCCGGCUUAUGGUUCCUUUAAGGCGGACACCGGGUUGUUGGGUGGAGGAGUUACCUUCUGUGUUAUGGAGCAUCAACACCACACCUAACUGAUCUACGGGUUACACGCCUUUCUUCAUGGUUUAUGGAGCAGAGGCGGUUCUUCCUAGUGACAUUCAUCACGACUCGUCCCGUGUGGCGGUUUAUGUUGAAGCUGAAAAUGAGAAGGCACGUCAGGACUCACUGGACCUGCUUGAUGAGGAGCGUGAUCUUGCAGCAGCACGUUCGGUGAUUUAUCAAUAAGAUCUCCGACGUUAUCACAACUGCCGGGUUAAGACCAGAACUUUUCAAGAGGGCGAUCUGGUGCUCCAGCUCAUCCAGGAUCAGACUGAUACGCACAAGUUAUCCCCACCAUGGGAAGGACAUUUUGUGGUCAGCAAAAAUCUGCACAACGGGUCAUACUACCUCAUUGAUGUCCGAGAGCACAAAGACUCACGUAAAUCGGAGGAGGAGACCAAGCGGCCGUGGAAUAUAGCUCUUCUUCGGCCUUACUAUACUUGAGCCACAGGCUCUUCUUAUGUACAUACUUAUGACAAUGUAUAUAUUAUAUAAUAAACCGGAGCCUCGAAUAAAGCGGGAUCUCUGUUCUUUUUACAUCAUGUGUGAGCCUACAGGAGCUUCUACUGACAAAGCGGCGUUUUAUUAACCCGACCUAUACGGCCACACAGAUAUAAAGAAAAUCACUAGGGGGCUUGGUCGUAUCCUAACAAUAGCUACACCUCUUGAUUGGUUUAAAACCAAAAAGGGAUAUCACUAGGGGGCUUGGUUGUCUUCACACCAUAGCUACACCUCUUGAUAGGCUUCAAGCCAAAAGGGAAUUAUGUGGAACCAAAGAGAGUCUGUUGCAUUAAGCACGGCUCAAACAUAGGUAACCACUAAGCACAGCUCAAAUAUUACCUGGGGGAUCCUUGCUUCUCAAAGAACAAUGAGCUUGCACCCUUGUAAUAGGCUAUCAAGCUAGGCUUGGAAGCCAGGUGUAUUCACCUAAAACCCCGGGUUAUCCCGCCUCUUUAAGUAAGCCACUCCGUCCAGGUAAACCCGGUAUGACCCAUCGAACGUUUGACAAGUCAAUCCCAUGGACCCUGAACUUGUCAAAGUUAAAACGGUGAUUGGUUAAAGAUUGAGGUCCAUCUUAAAAGGCUUUGCAAAAUGGUUUAACUCAGCGGCCUAGCAGCCCAUGAAAAGCCUUGCAUAUUUCUUGUCUUUGCUGUUUUUUAUGAUAAGGGAUUUAUGAAUAUUUUUUGAUAAACCGGUGUUCAUUACAACCCGACAUGACUUUCAACGCUUAGUUGUCAGUAUAUGAUCAGUUUUACAUCGGUAUUAUAUUCUUCCGGUCUGGUUUUGACUAGAUGUCAUCAGCAUUAUGCGGCUAUUAUAGCCCAAUAUGGUUUCUAUAUGAACCAGCAAGAGGGCAAGGAGUUGUCAACACUCCGGAUUGUUGUUUUUUCACAUUUACCAUACAAGCAGUUGGUCAGCCAACGAGGUAUGUCACAGAUAUUAUUUAUUUUAUCUGGUUAAUAUAAAUCUUGGUUAUCCAUCCAAGUUAUGUAUAUAUUUUUUGGGCAUCAUGACCAGUCCAGUGGUAAACCACUAGGACGCUUUCAAGUUCUUAUAUGCAGGAACACAAAGUAUAAUGGACUAUGCAUAAAUAGAUCCCAAAAGUGGAACAAGUUUUCAAAAUAUCAAGCAACACAAGCAUGCUCGAUGGCAUGGCCGAUAAAGGUGUUUCUGCUAUCCUAUUACAAGGAGCUUCAAAACGGCCCAAAUUGAAUAAUUGUUUCCAAGCAGUGGCAGACUGUAGCUGAUAAACCGGUCGCCGGUUUAGGAUGCUUCAUCAGGACGGCUUGACGAUUGCGGGUCAUCUUGCGCAGUCACAUCCUCUUCAUCCCUCCCCAGACGCUGGAAAUCAACCGUUGACCAAUCGAUUCCGGUUAAAGCUUGAAACACGACCUCUUCAUGGAUAAGGCUGGAGGGGUCAAUCUCAGGAGCGUAAGUAUGCUUAUGGAUUGGAGGCACAAGCUCUUCAACAUCAAGGAUCACAGCGGGCUGUCUCUUUCCCUCAGCAUCGUAAACCGGUUGGAAGUGAGAUAAAUCGGUGCCCUCCGCCAGUUUGCUUGCUAUUGGUCGCAUCUCCUUUGUCAGCCUUCGCAGAUCGUCAUUAUUGAAGUCUGAGCCGUCCUCUUUCACGCCAGGAUAUCCUUUGAUGAUAUUUGCCGGUUCAAGAUCCGGAAUCCAUGCCUUGGCCCGGAUUAGCGUGGUCAGCGCUCCUGAUCUUGCGGCUGAUCUCUUCAGUUCGGUGAUCCGGGAAGGUAGCAUGGCCAGCUUCUCAAGUGUUUCCUUUAUCAACAAUGGCAUCGGCUUGUUAUAUGCUGCAGUGCAAAUAGCACACUCGGAUCCAGAGAAUAGCUGUUCUAUCAAGGUGUACGCCGCUUUAAGCUUAAUCCGCAUGUCAGAGCCCAGAUGAGCAAUGCGGGUCCCUGUCAUGGUUCAGCAUUAGUAAACCGGCUGUUGAUAAAAUCUUAUGAUUAGACAAACUGCACGAGAGAGCACUUACCAAAUACAGCGGAUGUCUUGGCGUCAAUCUGCCACUUUAAGCUAGACAGUUCUUCCACUACCGGUUUUAGGGCUGCCUCUGCGUCCUUGGCCUUUUUUUAUCAAACCGGCUUUUUCUGUUUCCCAGUCAGCACGCUCCUUGUUGAAGGUCUCUUUCAACUUCUCCAUAGCUGCCAAGGCAUUGGUCAGCUCCUCUUUGGCUUUGGAAGCCUCUGCUUGUUGAGACUUUACGUUCUCUUGAAGAUCAGCAGUUUGAGCAUCCCUUUUACUCAGCUCGGCCUGCAAAGGCGAAGAUAUAUCAACAAUGAGAUGUGUAUUUACUAAGUACCAAGCGUAUAACAAGUUAUGCACUUUGUACUUGGGGGCUAAUGCCUAUUUGCUUUCUCAUCAACAUAUUUUCACAAGUCUCAAGUACAAUGCAAGCAUUAUCCUUAACCCUUGGGGGCUAAUGUAUAUCUGUUCAAAACUGAUGCAUUGAUUAAAGACCCGGUUUACCUUGCAAAGCUAAACCGGCCCUUGGGGGCUACACCGAUGAACACUACAUGAGUACAAUGAUAAAGUACCGGUUUGUUUCUAAACAAUGAUUUCACAUAUGGAGGAUCAGCAUGCAAGGAUUAAGAUAUUAAAAAGACCCGGUUUACCUCGCGAAAGUUAAACCAGCCCUUGGGGGCUACUUGGGCUGAUGUUUAUAAUUUGAAAUCAAGAAAGGAAAGGUGAUGAAAAUACCUCAUAGCAUUCUUUCAUCAGGUUCACCAAACCGGCUUCAUAAACACGGUUUGAGUGCAGGUGGUUUAGAAAACUGGAGUGGAGUUCUUGAGUGCUGAGAUGAGCGUAGCUUGACAAGUCAGUGCUCCAUUUACCUUUUUCCAUGGCAGCACACUCUUCCUUGGCACUAUGUUGGGCCAAGAUUAUAGGAUGGCCAGGAGAUGUGUGACCAAUACCAGUAAUGGUAACCUCGCCUUCUUUAUCUCCAGCAGCUUUGUCUGGAGUCGAUGGAGUUUCAGUAGCUCUCACCGGACUAGCCCAGAUUGGAUCUGCCGGUUCAAUAUUAGGCACAACAGUAUCAUCUUCUGGUUGUUCAUCGAUAUUGUGAUCUUGAGGGGGUGGCUCAUCAAAGGUGACUUCAGGAUUGGGACCCUCCGGUUCACUAGUUUGGUCCGGUUCACCUGUUUGAUCGGGUUCAAGAACCACCUGUUCUUCAGACGGAUUGUUCACCCGAGCCUUUUUGCUGGUUCUGGCUUUGGCUCUACAAACAAAAAAGAUGUGAAAAUUAAGCAUAGUAUACGAGGUAUGAAAACAUUCAAAGAAGGGGUUUAAGUACUUACCCAGCUAUAGUUUUGAGAGGAGGGAGUUGGGUUGCUGUUGACUCGCCAAAUGAUGAGGGAGGUGUCACCUGAUAAUUUGAAUCGGACAGAUUAAGAGGUUGUCGGAAAUAACCUGCCUUGGGGUAAGAAUUGUCAGAAGGAGGUGAGACCUCAGAUUGGCGCUUUCGAACCGAGGUGUCAGGUAAACCGGUCGAAGUGAUCUUUUGGCCGCUGUGCCGGGUUGUAUGGCAAGCCUCAUGCUGCUGCUUCAUCAAAAUAAAUGUUGGAUCCAAGUGAGCAAGAGGAUGUGAAAAGCUUACUUUCCGGAUCGCUUAAUGGAUUUUUUGUGCUGGCAGAGAGUCUGAACCGGAGGAAAGGACAAUUACCUCUACACCGUCAUCUUGGCUGCCUUCUGCGCACUCCUGAUAAAUAUCAUUUUUAAUGAGAUGCAUAAAUAGGGAACCCAGUGAAUCAAGUUCUACCUGAACUUCCGGUUCAUCCGUGUCGUCAUCUAGUUCCAUGCUGAUACGUUCAGAUGCCUUCCGCUUUGAGGUUUUCUUGACGGUUUUUGUUUUGGGGCGGGAGGGCUUUGCCGCUUUCUCUGCAGGUUUCUUCUUCCAGAAGGGAUCAUCACCUUGUUUAUAAACAAACGGAAGGAUAUUCACAGGUUGAACAGUUUAAAAAGAUGUCAAAGGUAAAAAGGAAGGACAAUACUUACAGCAGGCGGUUUGUUUUUUGUGUAAAAAGGGUUUAAGCCGGUUUGGCGACAAACAGAUUCCGAUUCGUUCAAAAUCUUCUUGACACCCUCAGUAACUUCUUCAUCAGUUAACUGAAUGUUGAUGUGAUGUUCGGAGUCUUCUACUUCACCAGUGUACUCACACAUUAAACCAGAGCGAUGACUUAAUGGCAAGAUGCUCCAGGAUAUCCAGCAACGCACAAAGUCGACGCCUGAUAAACCGUUGGCCAUAAAGGCUCGGAGCUUGGCGAGUUGAGGGGCAUAUGAGGCUCGUUCCGUAGCGCUUAGAUGUUGCGGCAGUGGAUGAGUGUUGGAGAGCCGGUGGGCACGGUAGCCCGGCAGAGGGUUCUCGUCUUCAGGGGAGGUAUCUUUACAGUAGAACCAAUUUGGUUCCAAUCUUUGGGGUGGCUGUGCAGCUUGGCAUGAGGAAAUUCGACCUCUUUUCUUUUUUGAAUUGAGACACCCCCAAGUUCAGUGUUGGGUCCGUCUACAAAUUCACUGUGCUGGUUCAGAUGGAAAAAAAUCCCGGAACAACUCAGCAGUUGGUUCUUCUUGUAGGUACACUUCACAGAAGACUUGGAAGUUGCAUAUAUUGGAUACUGAGUUAGGUCCAAUAUCUUGAGGGUGGAGUUGGAAACUGGCAAGCACAUCCCGGAAAAACUUUGACCCGGGCGGUUUGAAACCAUGGCCUAUGUGGUCAACAAAUACCACUACCUCACCCUCCUUAGGGGUAGGAGGAUUCUCCGAUCCAGGAACUCGCCACCGGAUCUCAUUUUUUUGGCAAGGUACCGAUCCUGACCAUUCCGUUAAGCUGUUCUUCGGUAAUCCGGGAAGGAGCCCAGUGACAAGCAUAAAACUGUUUGGCCAUUGCAAGCGAAAAGCUGAAAGGAAAUACCGGUUUACAAAUCAUUCAUGGUGAUACAUAAGAUGCGGCAGAAUAAAGACAUACAUGUAUGUAAAUUGCGUAAACCGGAGGCUGAUACAAUAAUGAAUGACAAGGAAAUAUCAGAACAAACGUAUGCACAUGCUGUUAAACUGGAGUAUAACAACGGAGGUAAAAGGCUUGUCCAAUUCACCAGGGGACUAAUGGUAUAGGAUAGAUUGCUUUUACAAAGGUAAACCGCCUAUGUGGUAAAGAGGAUACAAAUCUAAGGAAGAAAUGACUAAGUAAGGUAAAAACAGAUUUCAUGAGGUUGCGGGGAAAUUUUGGAUCUACCGUAACACAGGAAAAUAAAAGGAUUGAGACCUAAAAGGUUGAUCCCGAAGCAGUUCACAAAGGACCAGAUCAGUGUUUAAUGCGCGUAAAGGUUUGUUUUGGUAACAGAAGGUAAGCCAUUACGUGGAAUACAUCAAGUCUGAAGUUUUUAUCCAUGGACUAAGAAGAAACAGGGAAGAACAGCGCUGGAGCCUCGAUGAACUUCGACGAACGAGGAAACCCUAGGUAGAUCUACAACGGAGAAAGGAAGGGACUUACAGUGGCUGUUGAAGCAGCGGAGGUAUGCUGCGGCUCUCUGGUGCAACCAGGUUGAUGCAGCGGCCGGCGGAGAGAUGGAGGCGAAGCUCGGUGACGGCAGCGGCACUCAAGUGCAGAGGCGUCGCAAGGAGGAAGAAGAAGUGAAGGAGACAAAGGGGAAAAAAGAGAAGGGCCCGUGGUCCUAUUUAUAAGGCGAAGCGAUAAGCGACAAGUGCGUGAAUCAAGGACCUCAAAAUGGAUAGCUAAUAAGGAUGUCGCCUCGAUGGUUGGAUAUUCAUUAAUGAAGGGAAUGGCUUGAACGAACAGAUGACGCCAUGGCGGUUUACUACGGGUCUAAAGGAUGACAUCACGGCGGUUUACUAGAUCUAUAUGAAGGUGACAGGGCAAGAAUUUUUCUAAGUAUUGAAGAUUGACAUGAACAAAUUCAAAUCAAUCUAGGGCCUAAUGUUGGGGAUAUUAUUACUGGAGGUAAACCGGCUAGGAGUGGCCGGGUUAGCUCCAUGAAGAUAGAAGCCCAUGAAGAUGUGAGGAUGGAGGUGCUUUAGGAAGGCCCAAGGCCCAAAGGCGGGUUAAGGCCUAUAGAUGUAAACCGACUCUUUCAUGUAACUUGUAUUGUAAGUUAAAGAAAUAGAGACCGAGCCGGACACGUUUAUGAUCCGGCCUCGGGACUGAUAGCGGCGAGGGUCCCGAUGUUUCGAUGAGAUGGUGGCUAUCGUUUUCUGUGGGAGUCGACUUUGACGAUCCGACUACGAACGUGCGAGAGUCGCGCCUUAGCAAUCGCUAAACCAACUUCCGAGGGUUAUUGACCACGCCGGAGCACAAUCAACCUGACCACGAGGGUCUGUUUCCUGCGAGCAAACGAAGAACAAGCAAGAAACUGAGAUUGCAAUCUGCAUAUUGCGAAUAUAAGAUGAAAGCUUUAUUGAUAAAGGUGGGGUUCUGUGACGUCUUGGUCUGGUCGUUGGACACAAACGAAGUACGCGAAGUUGCAGCUAUGGCGAACUUUUAUUCUAAACAAAACCCAAAGUCUAAACGACGCCCUAAGGGCUGUAUAUAUGGAGGAAGAGGGGGGAAUUUCGUGGCCCUUGAGGGUGGGGUCCGAAACCAACCCUAACUCUUGUUUCCCCACACAUACGGACUCUAAAAAUAGCCUAUACUUAAGUAUUUCGAAAUUACAUGGGCCUGGCCCAUUAAUAAGGUGAUGCAGCACCUAGAAUAGCCUAUGGACGAAUAUUAUGAAGUGGCAUCUUGUAUAUUUCGUCCAAGGCUUCAUGCACUCCUUAUGGCGGCUUUAAAGUCCUGAAAUCAUCACUUGUAACUCCGUUCUUGAUCCCCUUGCGCAUGCCAUCAACUCCAUGUGUGUUCUUGCUCCAAUGUUCAUCCUUCUCCAAGCUAGGCCCUUCAUUUGUAAGCAAAACAAAUGUAUCCAAUUUAGGCAGCAUCAUAAUCUCAUGAACAUUAGAAUCAUUACCAAGAAAUGAAAGUACCUGGUAAUUUAAUUGGCGUGCGCGAGCUCUAGUAAUUGGUCCAGUAUAUGUAACAGUAGGGGCUGUGGGUGUAACAAUGGUAUUGAUGUCCUCAUCAUCCUCCCCUUCUUGAAAUGAAGUCGUCCUCGACGGAAGCGCAUCUUCCUCACCCAAAUAAGGCUUCAAAUCUGCAAUGUUAAAAGUGGGACUAACCCCAAAAUCUACAGGUAGCUCAAGUUUAUAUGCAUUAUCAUUUAUUUUCUCUAACACCUUAAAAGGACCAUCAGCACGUGGCAUUAGCUUUGAUUUGCGCAGAUUAGGAAAUCUAUCUUUACGCAAAUGUAACCAAACAAGAUCUCCAGGCGCAAACACAACAUGUUUUCUACCCUUAUCUCCAGCAAGUUUAUAUUUAGCAUUCAUACGCUCAAUGUUUUCCUUAGUUAACUCAUGCAUUUUUAAAAUCAAUUCAGAACAUUCUUUAGCAUCAAAAUUAAUCUUCUCUGAAGAUGGAAGAGGCAACAAAUCAAUAGGUGCACGAGGUAGGAAACCAUACACAAUUUCAAAAGGGCACAUCUUAGUAGUAGAAUGCAAUGAACGAUUAUAAGCAAAUUCAAUAUGAGGCAAGCAUUCUUCCCACAUUUUCUUGUUAUUCUUCAAAACAGCCCUAAGCAUAGUAGACAAUGUUCUAUUGACUACUUCAGUUUGUCCAUCAGUUUGGGGGUGACAAGUAGUACUAAAAAGCAGCUUAGUCCCCAACUUAGCCCAUAAACAUCUCCAAAAGUGGCUAAGAAAUUUAGUAUCACGAUCUGAAACAGUAGUAUUUGGCACACCAUGUAAGCGAAUAAUUUCACGAAAGAACAAAUCAGCAACAUUAACAGCAUCAUCGCUUUUAUGACAUGGUAUAAAGUGUGCCAUUUUCGAGAACCUAUCCACGACAACAAAUAUGCUAUCCCUCCCCUUCUUUGUUUGAGGUAAACCUAAAACAAAGUCCAUAGAUAUAUCCUCCCAAGGAACACUAGGUACAGGCAAAGGCAUAUAUAAACCAUGAGGAUUGAGUCGUGACAUAGCUCUUUGACAUGUAGUGCAGCGAGCAACAAAACGCUCAACAUCCCGUCUCAUCUUUGGCCAAAAGAAAUGUGUAGCAAGUAUAUCCUCCGUCUUCUUGACGCCAAAGUGUCCCAUUAAUCCUCCUCCAUGCGCCUCCUGCAACAACAAAAGACGAACAGAGCUAGCUGGAAUGCAUAGCUUGUUAGCACGAAACACAAAUCCAUCGUUAAGAACGAACUUGUUCCAAGUUCUCCCUUCCUUACAAUUCUGCAAUACAUCUUUAAAUUCAGCAUCAUGAACAUAUUGAUUUUUGAUGGUCUCCAAACCAAAUAUUUUAAAGUCAAGUUGUGAAAGCAUAGUAUAAUGACGAGACAAGGCAUCAGCAAUAACAUUUUCUUUACCCUUCUUAUGUUUAAUGACAUAAGGGAAAGUCUCAAUGAAUUCAACCCAUUUAGCAUGUCUACAGUUCAGUUUUGCUUGACUUUUAAUGUGUUUCAAAGAUUCAUGAUCAGAAUGUAUAACAAAUUCCUUGGGCCAUAAAUAAUGUUGCCAUGUUUCUAAGGUCCGAACAAGAGCAUAUAAUUCUUUAUCAUAAGUAGAAUAGUUCAGACUAGGCCCACUCAAUUUUUCAGAAAAGUAUGCAACAGGUUUUCCAUCUUGUAAUAACACACCUCCUAAUCCAAUUCCACUAGCAUCACAUUCAAGCUCAAUAGUCUUACUGAAAUUAGGAAGUUGGAGUAAAGGAGCAUGUGUCAACUUAUCUUUCAAUACCGUGAAGGCUUCUUCCUGUGCGAUACCCCAAACAAAAGGCACAUCCUUCUUUAUAAGCUCGUUGAGAGGUGCAGCAAUGGUGCUGAAAUAUCUCACAAAACGCCUAUAGAAACCAGCGAGGCCAAGGAAAAUCCUCACUUGUGUGACCGUUUUGGGCUGCGGCCAACUCUCAAUAGCUUCAAUCUUGGCUUUAUCAACUUCAAUUCCCUAUGGAGUAAUGAUAGAGGCGAGGGUCCCGAUCUUUCGAUGAGAUGAUAACUAUUGAUUUGGUGGAGACGACUUUGACAAUCCGACUACAAACGUGCACGACGUUGCGCCUUAGCAAUCGCUAAACCAAUCUCCUGAGGUUACUGACGAUGCCGGAAGCACGGUCAGCCUGACCACGAGGGUCUAUUCCUGCAAGCAAUCGAAGAACAAGCAAGAAUAUGAUAAAGCAAUCUGAAUAUUGCAAAUAUAUAUGAGGUAUUGAUAAUGGUGGGGAUCCGGAAGCGGUCUUGGUCUGGUCGUUGGACACAAACGAAGUACACGAAGUUGCAAUGGCUAACUUUUAACUAAACAAAUCCCCCCAAGGAAAAGCUACUAGAUGGAUCAACUUAUAUAGGAGCAAGGGGUGGCGGCCAAGGAGGUGGGAGGACGUCCCAAGGCAGCCUAAAACUAAAUCUAGGUCGUACAAGGCCAAUGGGCCCAAGUGGAGGUGAUGUAACACCUUUGGACUUGUAGUUUCACUCGGAUUCUGCUGCAGCAUCAGAUUGUUUCGUCCACAACUCAACGCUCCGGACGAAUUUGAAGGUGAUUCCAGUUGGGUUGGAAAGUGCGGAAAUCUAGUUUCCAACAAAAAAAGAAUCACCCAAUUCGGAGUCCGUAUGAAAAACUUGUGUGCGUUUUGAGUCAGGUAUGUCUGUGUAGUCCGAAUCUGAAUCCAGAACGUGAGAGACUUGGACUCUAUCUUCUCUUGGGCCAAAAGUGACGUGAGAGAACUUUUUGAACAGCAAAUAAACAUCUCUUUCUUCCUUAUCUUCAUAUGUGGUGACAGGCAACCAGCGGUGUCAAAUAACUAUGAAGAUUGUGUAAAGCGAUUGCCAGGGGAACGUACGUAUACACGGUGUAGAAAUAUGUGGAGCUGGGUUGGCUAUAUAUGGUAGCAAAAGAUUAGCAAUAAUCAAUUCAGAGAUGCGAUGUUGAAUAAACGCUCAACGACGGUACUGUGCUGGUCCUAGGCUAGACCGAACUAGAGACGCGAGCCUAGAACACUAAUGAGGUCACGUUGUAGCACAACUAGCAUCAAUGAAGGAUACUAAGUAGCUCUGGACAGCAAGAUAUAAGUGAAGUUCACAACGGCAGUAAAGAUAAUGAGGUGAAACAACAGCCAAGCAGGAUAUAUCAACAACUUUGUCUCCAACUUUCCUCUGAAAAAGUUUGUGCCGAUUUUUUUGUUUUUUUUCUUCUCUCUUUUUUUUCCUCACACUUUUUUUCUUCCUCUCCUUUUUUUUCUCUGACUUUUUUUUCCUUUUUUCUCUCUCUUUUUUUUCUCUCUUUUUUUCUCCCUCUUUCCAAAACAAACUAGAUAAGAUGCAGAUUGGAUCAAGUGAAGAUGUGAACGAACUCAACUAUUAUUAUGACAAUGAAUGGUGGGUAGCACGUGGUGGAAAUUGAUGGAUGGGUGGUGGACAACGGAAGAGAUAAUGAUGCAGCGGUGGCGUGACUAAUGUGAACAGAACUCGAAACUCUAAACGAACUAGACACUAAGACCAGCAACUCGACACGGCGAUGCAACCGAUAAUUCAAUAAUGCAAACAAUGAAAAGAAAAUUGCAAAGGCUCAGUCUGGCUAGGACAAAGGAUGAAUAGAUCUAACUUUUGUUUUGUGGCUUUUUCUUGGACAAUAGGUAAGAAAAUAAAUCUAAUCUAGGAAAAACUGGAAAUUCUCACCGAGCAACCUGAAAACUGAUACCACUUGAUAGAGGCGAGGGUCCCGAUCUUUCGAUGAGAUGAUAACUAUUGAUUUGGUGGAGACGACUUUGACAAUCCGACUACAAACGUGCACGACGUUGCGCCUUAGCAAUCGCUAAACCAAUCUCCUGAGGUUACUGACGAUGCCGGAAGCACGGUCAGCCUGACCACGAGGGUCUAUUCCUGCAAGCAAUCGAAGAACGAGCAAGAAUAUGAUAAAGCAAUCUGAAUAUUGCAAAUAUAUAUGAGGUAUUGAUAAUGGUGGGGAUCCGGAAGCGGUCUUGGUCUGGUCGUUGGACACAAACGAAGUACACGAAGUUGCAAUGGCUAACUUUUAACUAAACAAAUCCCCCCAAGGAAAAGCUACUAGAUGGAUCAACUUAUAUAGGAGCAAGGGGUGGCGGCCAAGGAGGUGGGAGGACGUCCCAAGGCAGCCUAAAACUAAAUCUAGGUCGUACAAGGCCAAUGGGCCCAAGUGGAGGUGAUGUAACACCUUUGGACUUGUAGUUUCACUCGGAUUCUGCUGCAGCAUCAGAUUGUUUCGUCCACAACUCAACGCUCCGGACGAAUUUGAAGGUGAUUCCAGUUGGGUUGGAAAGUGCGGAAAUCUAGUUUCCAACAAAAAAAGAAUCACCCAAUUCGGAGUCCGUAUGAAAAACUUGUGUGCGUUUUGAGUCAGGUAUGUCUGUGUAGUCCGAAUCUGAAUCCAGAACGUGAGAGACUUGGACUCUAUCUUCUCUUGGGCCAAAAGUGACGUGAGAGAACUUUUUGAACAGCAAAUAAACAUCUCUUUCUUCCUUAUCUUCAUAUGUGGAUUGUACAAAUGUCCCAUACACCUGCAAUUAGACAAAACACAAAAGUGUGUGAAGUAUUUUUGUUCUGGAUAACAUAAAUAGAUUAUUGAAUAGUUUGCACUAGAAAUCACCUGACAAAUAUGCAUAUAUGCAAUAUUUUUGGUCAUAUCCAAGGUAGUCAUGUCCUCAUCAAGUAACAACAUAGCCAAGAAAAGAUACUCGGUCGGUGCAAAAGGUGCACUUUCCAAGGUUUCCAAACAAACAUGCAUCACGUAGAGCAAUAAAAAUAGCACGUAAAUGUUCCAAAUGUUCCUCCAAAGAUUUGCUAUAAAUCAAUAUGUCAUCAAAGUAAACUACUACAAAUCGUCUAAUGAAAGCACGUAAAACUUCGUUCAUUAACCUUAUGAAAGUACUAGGUGCAUUAGUUAACCCAAAAGGCAUAACUAACCACUCAUAUAAUCCAAACUUAGUUUUAAAUGCUGUUUUCCAUUCAUCUCCCAAUUUCAUACGAAUUUGAUGGUAUCCACUACGCAAAUCAACUUUGGAGAAUAUUGUAGAGCCACUCAAUUCAUCAAGCAUAUCAUCUAGCCUAGAAAUAGGAUGACGAUAACGAAUAGUAAUAUUAUUUAUGCCUCUACAAUCAACGCACAUACGCGACGUACCAUCCUUUUUCGGCACUAAAAUGAUAUGAACAGCACAAGGACUAAGGGAUUUGCGUAUAUAACCUUUGUCGAGCAGUUCUUGUAUUUGACGCAUAAUCUCCUUCGUCUCCUCUGGAUUGGUACGGUAUGGUGCACGGUUGGGUAGCGAAGCACCGGGAAUUAAGUCAAUUUGAUGCUCAAUCCCUCGAAUAGGUGGUAAUCCCGGUGGCACGUCUUGUGGAAAGACGUCAGCGAACUCCUGCAAAAUGUUAGUGACAGCAGGGGGCAAAGAGGAAGGCACGUCCUCGAAUGAAAAUAAUGCCUCUUUGCACACAAAGGCAUAGCAAACAGAUUUGCUAAAAUCUAGCUCAUCAAUAUCAGAUUUGGUGGCAAGUAAACAUGCACUUUUCAAUUUAAUUUCAGAAACAACAGUAGAUGGUUUAUUAUUAGACUUCAUUUGGUGCUCAAAUUCUUUUGCCACAAUCUGAUUUUCACUCUUAUUUGUCUCCUGUUUUGCUUUAUUAGCUCUAUUAAUAUCAUCUUUCAAAAUGGAAUCAGGAGUCAUAGGAAGCAAAGUAAUAUUUUUAUCGUUAUGAACAAGAGUAUACUGAUUGUUUCUACCAUGGUGUACAGAAUUUUUAUCAAAUUGCCAUGGUCUACCAAGUAAUAAGGAACAUGCUUGCAUAGUUACCACAUCACAAUCAACAUAAUCAGCAUAUGUAGAGAUACUAAAAUGCACACGAACAGUACGUGUUACCUUAACCUUGCCGCUGUUGUUGAACCAUUGGAUGUAGUAAGGAUGUGGAUGUGGUCUUGUGGUGAGAGAUAGCUUCUCCACCAUCUCCAUGCUAGCCAAGUUAUUGCAGCUCCCUCCAUCUAGGAUCACGCGAACAGAACGUUCCUUCACAACUCCCUUUGUAUGGAACAAAUUAUGCCUCUGAUUUUGCUCAGCUUGUGUAACCUGCACACUCAAAACACGUUGAGCAACUAAACAUUCAUACCUAUCAGCAUCUUCAGGAGCCAUGUAUUGCGUCUCAUGAUCAGAAUCGUCUCCACCGUGUUCGUCACGUGUAAUAAGAGCCAAAGUCUCCUCAUCAUAGUUACUAGCAGACUCAUACCCACCAUCCUCAGUAAUAAUCAUCACACGCUUAGAUGGGCAUUCUCUCGCAUAAUGACCUCCACCCUUGCAACGUCGACAAAUAAUAUCAUGUGUUUGCCCUGUUGAUGCCAUGGAUGAAGAAGAGCUCUUUGCAGGCCUUAAGGUGUGCUCUUGGCAGAUAGUGGUGAUUGUGCCUGCUUUAUUGUAUCACGGUUGGAGGUGGCAGCCGACGGAGGCGCCGGUGUAGCAGAACGUGUGGAAGUAGAUGAUGCACGUGGUGUCCAUGAUGAAGGUCGACCUGCAGAAAAGUUAGUCCGCGCCAAUGCCUGUCGAUCCUGCACUUCACGUUCAGCUUUACAAGCAAGAUGGAAUAAACGAGUGAUAUUAGUAUACUCCUUAUACUCUAGAAUCGUCUGAAUAUCUCUAUUUAAUCCACCCAUAAAACGUGCAAGCAUAUGAUGAGGACAUCGAUACAAUUGUUACAUCCACAGCCCCUGCUGCUAUACAUACUGGACCAAUUACUAGAGCUCGUGCACGCCAACUAAAUUACCAGGUACUUUCGUUUCUUGGUAAUGAUUCUAAUGUUCAUGAGAAUAUGAUGCUGCCUAAAUUGGAUACAUUUGUUUUGCUUACAAAUGAAGGGCCUAGCUUGGAGAAGGAUGAACAUUGGAGCAAGAACAAGCAUGGAGAUGAUGGCAUGCGCAAGGGGAACAAGAAAGGAGUUACAAGUGAUGAUUUCUGGACUUUGAAGCCACCAUAAUGGGUGCAUGAAGCCUUGGACGAAAUAUACAAGAUGCCACUUCAUAAAUUUCGUCCCGAGGCUAUUUUAGGUGCUGCGUCACCUUAUUAUUAGGCCAGGCCUAUGUAAUUUCGAAAUACAUAAGUAUAGGCUAUUUUUAGAGUCCGUAUGUGUGGGGAAACAAGAGAUAGGGUUCAUUUCGGACCCCUCCACCAAGGGCCACGAAAUUCCCCCCUCUUCCUCCAUAUAUACAGCCCUUAGGGCAUCGUUUAGACUUUGGGUUUUGUUUAGAUUAAAAGUUCGCCAUAGCUGCAACUUCGCGUACUUCGUUUGUGUUCAACGACCAGACAAAGGCGUCACAGAACCCCACCUUGAUCAAUAAAGCUUUCAUCUUAUAUUCGCAAUAUCCAGAUUGCAAUCUCAGUUUCUUGCUUGUUCUUCGUUUGCUCGCAGGAAACAGACCCUCGUGGUCAGGUUGAUCGUGCUCCGGCGUGGUCAAUAACCUCUCGGAGUUGGUUUAGCGAUUGCUAAGGCGCGACGUCCUCGCACGUUCGUAGUCGGAUCGUCAAAGUCGACUGCCACCAAAGCGAUAUCCAUCAUCUCAUCGAAAGACGGGACACCUUUGCCUCUAUCAAGUGGUAUCAGAUUUCCAGGUUGCUCGGUGAGAUUUUACAGUUUUUCAUAGUUUAGAUCGAGUCUGUUCUUCAUACCUACAGUCCACGAAAAAGCCAAAAAAUUUAGGGUUAGUUCAUCAUAUCCGAACCAAUCUGAGCCUUUGCAUAAUCUUUUUAGGGUUUUGCUUUGUUGAAUUUGCGGUUGCAUCGUCGUGUCUAGUUGCUGGUCUUAGUGUUAGUCUUUUAGAGUUUCGAGUUCUGGUCAUAAGUUGUCACGCCGCCACCGCACCAUCAUCAUCGCCCCUGUCACCUACCACCACCGCUCCGAAUCCGUAUCCAUAUACCACCACCAAUCCGUAUCCAUAUACCACCAUCGAUCCAUAUCCAUAUAUUACCACCGCUGCCAUAUACCACCACCGCCGCCAUAUACCACCACCAUAUAUCCACCACCAAUCCGAGUUCCUUGCAUAUUAGUUGUGUUUUUGAGAUCCAUCUAGAUUCCGAUUCGUGUUUCCUUGCCGGAGUAGGUUUCGGAAAAAAAAGAGUCCGGAAACCACCCUUCGUUUAGGCCCAAAAUUUUUCGAAAACGCAUUUUUCAAAAAAAAAAUCUGGCUAUCCUAUUUUUAGGUGUUUCUGAGUGUUUUGAGACAGGUGUCAUUAUAGGAAGUUUUUUUUGACCCAUUUCCAGUUUUUGGGUCCGGGCAGUCGAAAAAAUGAAAAAAAAAAUUUGGUCGAAAAAAUUUCGUGCCCAUCCUGUCAGUUUGACCUAGGAAGAGUUUUGAGACACUCGCCAUUAUAGUGAUUUUUCGCAAAAAAAAAACAACGCAAAAAAAAGAGCGCAAAAAAAGAGCGAAAAAAAUUCCAGAGUGUGCUUUUUCCUUGUUUACGUGCAGCGCCGUGAUUUUGUUAGUGUUCUAGGCUCGCGUCUCUAGCACGGUCUAGCCUAGGACCAGCACAGUACCGUCGUUGAGCGUUUAUUCAACUUGGCAUCUCUGAAUUGAUUAUUGCUGACCCUUUUUGCUACCAUAUUAUAAGCCUUCCCAGCUCCACAUGCAUCUACGUCGUGCGUUUGACUCUCCCUGGUAAUCGCUCUAUCCAAGCUUUGAGAGUUUUGACUACAACGGUUGCCGAUCACCGCCUGCUGCUGGGUAAGAACUGGUAAGAAUUUGAGUUUUGCUUGACGGGUUUGUGAUACACCACCACCACUUCUUAGUAGUCUGUAGGAUCAUAUUCUUGUGUGUUUCUAUUUGCUGCUAACCAUGGUAGGAUCACAAGCCGAUGAGACUGAUUGGGAGAACCUGACGAACAAACAGCUACAUGAUAAAUUUCAGCAAAUGAUGAGUGGACAGGUGCAAGAUGUGCUAAACAGAUUUGACGAGGCCAUUGGUGCGAUAGAUGGCAUGGAGAAGACGUUCGAAACAAAGCUUGAUAACAACUUUAAUGAAUUGCUCGCGCGUUUACCACCACCACCGCCGGCUGCACCUAUCGCACCUCUGCAACACCAACAACAACGCAUCCUUCCGAAUCAGUAUGGAUGAGCGAAGCGUGUUCCUAUUGAGGAUGGCCAAACUUCUGGUGCUGCUGUUCCUAUUAUUGAUGCUUCUUUGGCUCCUGCUACUGCUGCUGCUGGUACCCAGGAGGAUGAUGAGUAUGCGGGCGAUUAUGAGGAUGAGGUUGAUCAAAAUCAGAACUACGUGCACCCACCAGCACCACCACCAGCAUGUCAACGUCAGGUAUAUAUUCGUAAUGGUAGGCCUGCACCACCACCUCAGGUACGAGAUGAUGUCCAUAUUCCUAAACUGAAAUUGAAUAUUCCACCAUUUGAGGGUAGAUAUGUUCCUGAUAUAUAUCUUACUUGGGAGUUAGAAACUGAACAACGUUUUACAUGUUUACAAUAUCCCGAGGAGAGACGGGUUGCUGCUGCUGUUUGUGCUUUCACUAGUUUUGCAUGUGUAUGGUGGUCUGAACAUUGUAGAUUAUAUCCUAUUCCAACUACUUGGGCUGCUUUGAAAACUGCUAUGCGUAUGCGUUGGGUUUCACCAUAUUAUCAACGUAAAUUGCUUCAAAAAUUGCAGCGUUUAAGACAAGGGAAAAAUUCUGUAGAAGAAUAUUAUCAGGAAUUACAAACUGGCAUGAUUAGAUGUGGUAUUGUUGAGGAGAAUGAAGUUAUGCUUGCACGUUUUCUUGGUGGAUUAAAUAGAGAGAUUCAGACCAUUCUAGACUAUAAGGAGUAUACUAAUAUCACUCGUUUAUUCCAUCUUGCUUGUAAAGCUGAACGUGAAGUGCAGGAUCGACAAGCAUUGGCGCGAUCUAACUUUUCUGCAGGCCGACCUUCAUCAUGGACACCGCGUGCAUCUUCUACUUCAACUGCACUAGCACCUCAAUCAGGUGCCUCCUCCAGUCGUGAUAUAAGAAAAUAGGCACAACCACCAUUAUCUGCCAAGAGCGCACCUGCUGGGCCUGCACAGAGUUCUUCUUCUUCCAUGGCAUCAACAGGGCACACAAGUGAUAUUAUUUGUCGUUGUUGUAAGGGAGGUGGUCAUUAUGCGAGAGAAUGCAAAUCUCCGCGUGUGAUGAUUGCUGCCGCAGAUGGUGGAUAUGAGUCCGCUGGUGACUAUGAUGAGGAGACUUUGGCUCUUAUUACACAUGAAGAACAUGGUGGAGAUGAUUCUGAUCAUGAGACGCAAUACAUGGCUCCUGAAGACGCUGACAGGUAUGAAUGUUUAGUUGCUCAACGUGUUUUGAGUGUGCAGGUCACACAAGCUGAGUAAAAUCAGAGGCACAAUUUGUUCCAUACCAAGGGAGUUGUGAAGGAACGUUCUGUGCGCGUCAUAAUAGACGGAGGGAGCUGCAACAACUUGGCUAGCAUGGAGAUGGUGGAGAAGCUUUCUCUCACCACAAGACCACAUCCACAUCCUUACUACAUCCAAUGGUUCAACAACAGCGGCAAGGUUAAGGUAACACGUACUGUUCGUGUGCAUUUUAGUAUCUCCACAUAUGCUGAUUAUGUUGAUUGUGAUGUGGUACCUAUGCAAGCAUGUUCCUUAUUACUUGGUAGACCAUGGCAAUUUGAUAAAAACUCUGUACACCAUGGUAGAAACAAUCACUAUACUCUUGUUCAUAAGGAUAAAAAUAUUACUUUGCUUCCUAUGACUCCUGAUUCCAUUUUGAAAGAUGAUAUUAAUAGAGCUAAUAAAGCAAAACAGGAGAAGAAUAAGAGUGAAAAUCAGAUGGUGGCAAAUGAAUUUGAGCAACAAAUGAAGCCUAAUAAUAAACCAUCUAGUGUUGCUUCUGAAAUUAAAUUGAAAAGUGCAUGUUUAUUUGCCAACAAAUCUGAUAUUGAUGAGCUAGAUUUCAGCAAAUCUGUUUGGUAUGCUUUUGUGUGCCAAGAGGCAUUAUUUUCAUUCGAGGACGUGCCUUCCUCUUUGCCUCCUGCUGUCACUAACAUUUUGCAGGAGUUCGCUGACGUCUUUCCACAAGACGUGCCACCGGGAUUACCGCCUAUUCGAGGGAUUGAGCAUCAGAUUGACUUAAUUCCCGGUGCUUCACUGCCAAACCGUGCACCAUACCGUACCAAUCCAGAGGAGACGAAGGAGAUUAUGCGUCAAGUACAACAACUGCUCGACAAAGGUUAUAUACGCGAAUCCCUUAGUCCUUGUGAUGUUCCUAUCAUUUUAGUGCCGAAAAUGGAUGGUACGUCGCGUAUGUGUGUUGAUUGUAGAGGCAUAAAUAAUAUUACUAUUCGUUAUCGUCAUCCUAUUCCUAGGCUAGAUGAUAUGCUUGAUGAAUUGAGUGGCUCUACAAUAUUCUCCAAAGUUGAUUUGCAUAGUGGAUACCAUCAAAUUCGUAUGAAAUUGGGAGAUGAAUGGAAAACAGCAUUUAAAACUAAGUUUGGAUUAUAUGAGUGGUUAGUCAUGCCCUUUGGGUUAACUAAUGCACCUAGUACUUUCAUGAGAUUAAUGAACGAAGUUUUACGUGCUUUCAUUGGACGAUUUGUGGUAGUUUACUUUGAUGACAUAUUGAUUUCUAGCAGAUCUUUGGAAGAACAUUUGGAACAUUUACGUGCUGUUUUUAUUGCUCUACGUCAUGCACGUUUGUUUGGUAACCUUGGGAAGUGCACCUUUUGCACCGACCGAGUAUCUUUUCUUGGCUAUGUUGUUACUCCACAGGGAAUUGAAGUUGAUAAAGCCAAGAUUGAAGCUAUUGAGAGUUGGCCGCAGCCCAAAACGGUCACACAAGUGAGGAGUUUUCUUGGCCUCGCUGGAUUCUAUAGGCGUUUUGUGAGAGAUUUCAGCACCAUUGCUGCACCUCUCAAUGAGCUUACAAAGAAAGAUGUGCCUUUUCUUUGGGGUACCGCACAGGAAGAAGCCUUCUCGGUAUUGAAAGAUAAGUUGACACAUGCUCCUUUACUCCAACUUCCUGAUUUUAAUAAGACUUUUGAGCUUGAAUGUGAUGCUAGUGGAAUUGGAUUAGGCGGUGUGUUAUUACAAGAUGGCAAACCUGUUGCAUACUUUUCUGAAAAAUUGUGUGGGCCUAGUCUAAAUUAUUCUACUUAUGAUAAAGAAUUAUAUGCUCUUGUUCGGACCUUAGAAACAUGGCAACAUUAUUUAUGGCCCAAGGAAUUUGUUAUGCAUUCUGAUCAUGAAUCUUUGAAACACAUUAAAAGUCAAGCAAAACUGAACCGUAGACACGCUAAAUGGGUUGAAUUCAUUGAGACUUUCCCUUAUGUCAUUAAACACAAGAAGGGUAAAGAAAAUGUUAUUGCUGAUGCCUUGUCUCGUCGUUAUACUAUGCUUUCACAACUUGACUUUAAAAUAUUUGGUUUGGAGACCAUCAAAAAUCAAUAUGUUCAUGAUGCUGAAUUUAAAGAUGUAUUGCAGAAUUGUAAGGAAGGGAGAACUUGGAACAAGUUCGUUCUUAACGAUGGAUUUGUGUUUCGCGCUAACAAGCUAUGCAUUCCAGCUAGCUCCGUUCGUCUUUUGUUGUUGCAGGAGGCGCAUGGAGGAGGAUUAAUGGGACACUUUGGCGUCAAGAAGACGGAGGAUAUACUUGCUACACAUUUCUUUUGGCCAAAGAUGAGACGGGAUGUUGAGCGUUUUGUUGCUCGCUGCACUACAUGUCAAAGAGCUAAGUCACGACUCAAUCCUCAUGGUUUAUAUAUGCCUUUGCCUGUACCUAGUGUUCCUUGGGAGGAUAUAUCUAUGGACUUUGUUUUAGGUUUACCUCAAACAAAGAAGGGGAGGGAUAGCAUAUUUGUUGUCGUGGAUAGAUUCUCGAAAAUGGCACACUUUAUACCAUGUCAUAAAAGCGAUGAUGCUGUUAAUGUUGCUGAUUUGUUCUUUCGUGAAAUUAUUCGCUUGCAUGGUGUGCCAAAUACUAUUGUUUCAGAUCGUGAUACUAAAUUUCUUAGCCACUUUAGAUGUUUAUGGGCUAAGUUGGGGACUAAACUGCUUUUUAGUACUACUUGUCACCCCCAAACUGAUGGACAAACUGAAGUAGUCAAUAGAACGUUGUCUACUAUGCUUAGGGCUGUUUUGAAGAAUAAUAAGAAAAUGUGGGAGGAAUGCUUGCCUCAUAUUGAAUUUGCUUAUAAUCGUUCAUUGCAUUCUACUACUAAGAUGUCCCCUUUUGAAGUUGUGUAUGGUUUCCUACCUCAUGCACCUAUUGAUUUGUUGCAUCUUCCAUCUUCGGAGAAGGUUAAUUUUGAUGCUAAACAACGUGCUGAAUUGAUUUUUAAAAUGCAUGAGUUAACUAAGGAAAACAUUGAGCGCAUCAAUGCUAAAUAUAAACUUGUUGGAGAUAAGGGUAGAAAACAUGUUGUGUUUCCACCUGGAGAUCUUGUUUGGUUACAUUUGCGUAAGGAUAGAUUUCCUGAUUUGCGCAAAUCAAAGUUAAUGCCAUGUGCUGAUGGUCCCUUCAAGGUGUUAGAGAAAAUAAAUGAUAAUGCAUAUAAACUUGAGCUGCCUGCAGAUUUUGGGAUUAGUCCCACUUUUAACAUUGCAGAUUUGAAGCCUUAUUUGGGUGAGGAAGAUGAACUUCCGUCGAGGACGACUUCAUUUCAAGAAGGGGAGGAUGAUGAGGACAUCAAUACAAUUGUUACACCCACAGCCCCUGCUGCUAUACAUACUGGACCAAUUACUAGAGCUCGUGCACGCCAACUAAAUUACCAGGUACUUUCGUUUCUUGGUAAUGAUUCUAAUUUCAUGAGAAUAUGAUGUUGCCUAAAUUGGAUACAUUUGUUUUGCUUACAAAUGAAGGGCCUAGCUUGGAGAAGGAUGAACAUUGGAGCAAGAACAAGCAUGGAGAUGAUGGCAUGCGCAAGGGGAACAAGAAAGGAGUUACAAGUGAUGAUUUCUGGACUUUGAAGCCGCCAUAAUGGGUGCAUGAAGCCUUGGACGAAAUAUACAAGAUGCCACUUCAGAAAUUUCGUCCCGAGGCUAUUUUAGGUGCUGCGUCACCUUAUUAUUGGGCCAGGCCCAUGUAAUUUCGAAAUACAUAAGUAUAGGCUAUUUUUAGAGUCCGUAUGUGUGGGGAAACAAGAGAUAGGGUUCAUUUCGGACCCCUCCACCAAGGGCUACGAAAUUCCCCCCUCUUCCUCUUGUUUAGAUUAAAAGUUCGCCAUAAUUGCAACUUCGCGUACUUCGUUUGUGUUCAACGACCAGACAAAGGCGUCACAGAACCCCACCUUGAUCAAUAAAGCUUUCAUCUUAUAUUCGCAAUAUCCAGAUUGCAAUCUCAGUUUCUUGCUUGUUCUUCGUUUUCUCGCAGGAAACAGACCCUCGUGGUCAGGUUGAUCGUGCUCCGGCGUGGUCAAUAACCUCUCGGAGUUGGUUUAGCGAUUGCUAAGGCGCGGCGUCCUCGCACGUUCAUAGUCGGAUCGUCAAAGUCGACUGCCACCACAGCGAUAUCCAUAAUCUCAUCGAAAGACGGGGCACCUUUGCCUCUAUCAGCAUAGCUUCAUUCUCCUCAACAAUACCACAUCUAAUCAUGCCAGUUUGUAAUUCCUGAUAAUAUUCUUCUACAGAAUUUUUUUUCCCUGUCUUAAGCGCUGCAAUUUUUGAAGUAAUUCACGUUGAUAAUAUGGUGGAACCCAACGAGUACGCAUAACAGAUUUCAAAGCAGCCCAAGUAGCCGGAAUAGGAAAUAAUCUACAAUGCUCAGACCACCAAACACAUGCAAAACUAGUGAAUGCACAAACAGCAGCAGGAACACGUCUCUCCUCGGGAUAUUGUAAACAUGUAAAUAGUUGUUCAGUUUCUAACUCCCAAGUAAGAUAUAUAUCAGGAACAUAUCUACCCUCAAAUGGUGGAAUAUUCAAUUUUAGUUUAGGGAGAUGGUCAUGAUCUUGUACCUGAGGGUGAGCCCUACCAUUGCCAUUAUUUGCAUGUGGACGACCUGGUGGUUGCUGUGCUGGUGGUGGCACGUAGUUCUGAUUUUGAUCAACCUCAUCCUCAUAAUCUCCCACAUAAUCAUCCUCCUCCACAUCAGCAGUAGGAGCCACAAAAGUAUCAACAGCAGCACCAGCAGUUUGGCCCGAUUGAAGAGGGACACGGCUCGCUCGGCGGAGGGCUGUUUCCCGACGUGGAGGUAGUCGGUGUUGUUGCUGUUGUUGCAGAGGUGCUGCAGGAGCAGCGGGUGGUGGUGGUGGAAAACGCGAAAGCAAUUCAGUAAACUUGAUAUCGAGCUUUGUUUCAAACGUCUUCUCCAUGCCAUCUAUCUUCUCCAUGGCCUCUUCAAAUCUGUUUAUCACAUCUUGCACCUGUACACUCAUCAUUUGCUGAAACGUAUCAUGAAGCUCCUUGUUCGACAAGUUCUCCCAGUCAGUCUCGUCGGAUUGUGAUCUUGGCAUGGUUAGCAGCAAUAGAAACACACAAGAAUAUGAUCCUACAGACUACUAACAAGUGGUGGUGGUGGCGGGUGUCACAAAUCCGUCAAGCAAAUCUCAAAUUCUUACCAGUUCUUACCCAGCAGCAGGCGGUGAUCGGCAACCGUUAUAGUCAAAACUCUCAAAAGCUUGGAUAGAGCGAUUGCCAGGGAGAGUCAAACGCACGACGUAGAUGUAUGUGGAGCUGGGAAGGCUUAUAGUAUGGUAGCAAAAAGGGUCAGCAAUAAUCAAUUUAGAGAUGCAAAGUUGAAUAAACGCUCAACGACGGUACUGUGCUGGUCCUAGGCUAGACCGUGCUAGAGACGCGAGCCUAGAACACUAACAAAAUCACGGCGCUGCACAUAAAUAAGGGAAAAGCACACUCUGGAACUAUUUUUUUUCGCUCUUUUUUUUGCGCUCCUCUUUUUUUUGCGAAAAAUCACUAUAAUGGCGAGUGUCUCAAAACUCUUCCCUCGUCAAACUGAUAGGAUGGGCACGAAAAAUUUUUUUCACUUUUUUUUCGGAAAUCAGGGCAGCGACGACGAAAAAGUGCGACAAAAAAUCACUAUGAUGGCACGUGGCUCAAAAGACCCAGAAAAGCCUAAAAAUAGGAUAGGGAAAAAAUCGCCCGUGAAAAUUUUGGCCUAAAAACUGCCCGGGGGUCUCCAGACUUUUUUUUCCAAGACCUAUGCAGACAAGGAAACACGAAUCGGAAUUUAGAUUGAUCUCAAGAACAAACCUAAUAUGAGUAGAACUCGGAUUGGUGGUGGAUAUAUGGUUGUGGUAUAUGGCAGCGGUGGUGGUAUAUGGUAGCGGUGGUGGUAUAUGGAUACAGAUUGGUGGUGGUAUAUGGAUACGGAUUGGUGGUGGUAUAUGGAUAUGGAUUCAGAGCGGUGGCGGAUAAGCAAAAGUGGUAGAUGGGCGAUGAUGAUGGUGCGGCGGCGGCGUGACAACUUAUGACCAGAACUCGAAACUCUAAAAGACUAGACUCUAAGACCAGCAACUUGACACGACGAUGCAACCGCAAAUUCAACAAAGCAAAAACCCUAAAAAGAUUAUGCAAAGGCUCAGAUUGGUUCGGAUAUGAUGAACUAACCAUAAAAAUUGUUUAUGGCUUUUUCGUGGACUGUAGGUAUGAAGAACAGACUCGAUCUAAUCUACGAAAAACUGUAAAAUCUCACCGAGCAACCUGAAAAUCUGAUACCACUUGAUAGAGGCGAGGGUCCCGAUGUUUCGAUGAGAUGGUGGCUAUCGUUUUCUAUGGGAGUCGACUUUGACGAUCCGACUACGAACGUGCGAGACGUCGCGCCUUAGCAAUCGCUAAACCAACUUCCGAGGGUUAUUGACCACGCCAGAGCACGAUCAACCUGACCACGACGGUCUGUUUCCUGCGAGCAAACGAAGAACAAGCAAGAAACUGAGAUUGCAAUCUAGAUAUUGCGAAUAUAAGAUGAAAGCUUUAUUGAUCAAGGUGGGGUUCUGUGACGUCUUGGUCUGGUCGUUGGACACAAACGAAGUACGCGAAGUUGCAGCUAUGGCGAACUUUUAUUGUAAACGAAACCCAAAGUCUAAACGACGCCCUAAGGGCUGUAUAUAUGGAGGAAGAGGGGGGAAUUUCGUGGCCCUUGAGGGUGGGGUCCGAAACCAACCCUAACUCUUGUUUCCCCACACAUACGGACUCUAAAAAUAGCCUAUACUUAAGUGUUUCGAAAUUACAUGGGCCUGGCCCAUUAAUAAGGUGACGCAGCACCUAGAAUAGCCUAUGGACGAAUAUUAUGAAGUGGCAUCUUGUAUAUUUCGUCCAAGGCUUCAUGCACUCCUUAUGGCGGCUUUAAAGUCCUGAAAUCAUCACUUGUAACUCCGUUCUUGAUCCCCUUGCGCAUGCCAUCAACUCCAUGUGUGUUCUUGCUCCAAUGUUCAUCCUUCUCCAAGCUAGGCCCUUCAUUUGUAAGCAAAACAAAUGUAUCCAAUUUAGGCAGCAUCAUAAUCUCAUGAACAUUAGAAUCAUUACCAAGAAACAAAAGUACUUGGUAAUUUAAUUGGCGUGCGCGAGCUCUAGUAAUUGGUCCAGUAUAUGUAACAGUAGGGGCUGUGGGUGUAACAAUGGUAUUGAUGUCCUCAUCAGGGACUCUGUAAACCGGCGGGCGUCAACCUAUGUAUAUAAAGGGACGACCCGGCCGCAGUUUAGGGACAACAGACAACUACUCGAGAGCCAGGCAAAGCGGAUUCGCUCCCUGGUCAUCGAAAUCCUAGCAAUAUCAACCACAACUAGACGUAGGCUUUUACCUUCAACGAAGGGGCCGAACUAGUAUAAAAUCCCUCGUGUCCCCUUGUCCGGUUUAACCCCUUUAAGCUAACCCGUAGCGAUGGCUCCAUGACUAAGUCCUUUCAUGAGGACAUAUGCCGUGACAAACCCACGACACAAGGUAUGAAGGUCGUUUGAACGUCAAGGGGGACUCCUGAGCAUCGCGACUCAGGAGCUUAACUGACCAUGUAGCCCCUCACUCCUUGGCCCGUCCUGGUGAUCCGGUUGGACCAAUGGUGGCUGAGGUAUGUGCGGGGUCGGGCCCUGCCGACGUAGAACACUAGACCUACCAUUGCAUCUCCUUUCCACAAGUUGUUUGUGCAUCAAGGGGGACUCCUGAGCAUCGCGACACAGGAGCUAACCACGUAGCCCCUUGCUCCUUGGUCCGUCCUGGUGAUCUGGUCGGCCCAACGGCGGCUGAGGUAUGUGCGGGGUCGGGCUCUGCCGACGUAGAACAUAAAGCAAAUGGGAAGGAAAUCGCAAAAUCUCAAAGAAAAUAUUACAAGACAUAUUGUUCUCCGAAUAUCAAACACAAGUUUAAACGCCUCCACGAGGCACGUUACAUGAUGCAGGAAUUUCAACAGGAAAGGAGCCGCAAGCCAGUCAUCCCCGGACACCGCUGGCGCCCGCAAGAGGCGCCCCCUCCUAGGUGGCGUCGCCUUCACCUGCACCACCGGUCGAAGGCGCGGGGGCGAAGGCGUCAAACUUCUUCAGCGGGGCUUCCACCUGACCUUUGAUGGCUGUGGCGGCGGUUGUGCAGUGUUCAUCAGCCACAGGCUCCAGCAGCUCAUCAAUGCGGGCGGCAGGAUCGCGAAGAUGGAGGUGGCUGAAGACGCGCGUCAGCACCGCUGAAGAAAGGAUGUGAGCCUCUUCCUCUACCAUGGGGCCGAUGCCGCGCACGACUUCCUCAAGCGCCUCGUCCAAGUAAGGAAGCAACUGGGCGGGGCCGUCCUCCAUGGUGGCCAGCGGCUUCUCCAAGCCCUUCUCAUAGAGUGACUUCAGAGCCUCGUGAGACCUCUUCUCGAGAAGCACGAAGGCCGCACGGUCCUCGGCCACAACCUUCGUCUUGGCGUCAAGUUCUGCUUUCUCAGCCCGCACCUUUUGCUCCAGCUCCUCUAGCCAGCUGCGCUCAGCGGCCUGCGCCAGCUGCUCCAGCUCGGCGUCGCAACCCUUGACGGCGUCCUCCCGGGCCUUCAUCCACUCUUCCCCCGCCUUACGGCCACGGGCAUCUUCGGCACGCUCUUCACGCAGGAUCUUCAGCUCGGCCUCCAGCACCUGGCAGCGACCUUAGGCGGCCUCGGUGUCCUUCAGCGCCGCCUCGCGAGCAACUGCUGCCUAAGCUGUGGCUCGCUUCUCCCCCUUAGAGGUCGCCGCGACCUGGCUCAGCGCCGUCCGAACGGACACGUCAUAAUGAAGCCAACUAGAGACCAGCUGCAGACGCCCAGCCGCCAGGAGGGGUUCGACGCUCUGGAGAUCUUCUCGCAGCCGGGCCAUCUCAGAAAGGGCGCGCUCCAGGACGUCAGGAGAGGCAAAGGAACCUGGGGCCAGGAACACGACAGGAGGAGGAGGAAGAGGCGUUGUCGUCACCAUGGCCUGGGAGGCUGGGGUCUCCCGAGCCUCUUGGAGCUCAGCACCCGAGCCGGACUCAGGCACCUGCCGAGUCAGCGGGGCCUCAGGGGCUGACUUCUCCCGAGGAUGCUCCACCCAGCCUCGCGAGGAUGAUCAGGCUGGAGAAGCACGGGAACCAUCCCCACCUUUGCUCAUGGAGAGGGGCACAGCCGUAGGAGGCGACCUGGGCUCAAGCAGCACCACCUCACUCUCCCUUCUCCUCUUUGCCAUAGGCGUCGGCCUAGUUACAAAGCAAGGAAGAAGAGUCAGAAACAAGCAUCAAUAGCAAGAACAAGGCAGGACGAGAACACUCACUGAUCCACCGCGGUGUAGUCCCUCCGCUUCGGGAGCUUGAAGCCGGAGAGCUUCGCGACCCGAGGCGCGGGCGUGCCAGCUCCGGAAGAAGAAGCAGGAGCAGCAGCUGAGCCGGAAGCGGCUCCAGGUGGCGCCAGAACAGAAGCAUUAUCCCGGGAGAUCAGCGCCGUUCUGUCCCUCGUCGGGAUUACGGAUGGCCCUCCCUUCUCCUGGCGGGUGUCAGCCUCGUCGUCGUCAAGAAGGGUGCAGAGGAUGUCAGCUUUGCUCAAGGGGGAGGUCUCCCCCAUCCCUUCAGGGGUCACCUCAGAGUCUUCCUCCUCCUCUUCCUCCCCGCGGGACUCACCAGAAGACAGCUCCACCGGCGUGGGCGCCGCAGGGGCCCCGGUGGAUGCCGGCGGCACCAGCCCGCGCCCGUCAAAGGUCGGCCUGGCAGCCACGACCUGCGCCCCGUCCUUGCGGCGGAACAAGGGACUGAAGACACUCGGCGGGUACUCCUGGUCGUCCCUGACCAGGAGGCGGAGAGCCGCAGCCAGCCCACUGUUGGACAAGGCUUCCAGGCUCAAGCAAGUGUACCUUGUCUUCUUCGCCCCCAAGCUCCCACAAGGGGCGCGUACGCGCCUGGAGCGGGGCUACGCGCAGCAUCAGGAAUUCCCUCGGGAGCAUGGCCCCUGUCACCUUUGCCGCCUUCGUGUUGCCCGGCUUUAGGUCGGCGUUCCUCUGCUCCAACACCAACGUUGCCCGCUCAUAAGUGAGCUUCGUGCAAGACCACCCCUUGUCAAACUGGGGCAUCUCCGUUGGCAGCAUAAAGCAUGGGUGGACGUACUUGGCGUCCAUCAUGGCCACUUGCUCCUGAAGCCGCCGGCCUUCUUGCCAGUCUCCGAGAUUGACUUGGCCUUCCCGGGCGCGAUGAAAUUGGCAUGCCCGGAGGUAUGACCCUCGUUGAUGCGGAGGAAGAAGAAGUGGUGCAGCAGAGCCACGGACGGCAUCACGCCGAGGUACGCCUCACAGUAGUAGGCGAAGAUCGACAAGAGAAGGAUAGAGUUGGGAUGAAGAUGCAGCGCCUGCAGCCCAUAGUGUCCAAGAACCUCGUAGAAGAAGUCAGAGAAGGGGGAACCAGUCCUACGACGAUGCUGCUCGUGAAGAAGGGGAAGAAGGUGCUUCCCUCGGGCUCCGGCACAUCGGAGCCGACCCAGAGCUUAGUCUUCCCCCUCUCGUUGCUUUCUCCCGCCGUCAGCAAGCACAUGGUGGCGAGGUUCUUCUCCGAGAUGUUGGGAGCAUUGAGACCUAGCUCGUACCAAGCCGAUGAUGAGGUAGGCUGGACCCUCCGGGGCACCAUCGGUCGCUAAUGCGGAAGGGGAUGGGAGUAGAUCUGGAGAUUUCGGAAGUAGGGAGCAAGAAAGGGGACCUGGAGCAAGGCGAAAGGAAGCAAUGAGGGCAAGCGCUGUCUACGCCAGCCUUUUGACAGUCGGGAAGUUGCCGAGACAAUGUGGGGAGGCGAAGACGCCCACGUCCAAUCAACCACCACACGUCGACUAAGGACGCAGGCUACUGGGGCCCGCGGCGCUCCGCAAUUGCCCUUUGGCUUCGCCUUGAAUCCAAGCCCGAGCGAGCCUUGGGCCCGAGGGGUACUCUCGACGUUCUGGGAAUGGGGGUCCCCAGAAUUGCCUGCUUGCGGCCCACGGCGUGGCUCUACAAGCGGGCCCGUAUGACCCAUCUUCACUAGCAAGCAUUCAAGAUCCUCGUGAGGGGCCAGGCAUCGCGAGGCGGACGACAAAAGAGCUCCUCAGGAGCGGCCUCACUAGGCUGGCUCGCGAGGGGCGGAGAGAUCAAGGCAAGGCAAACCUCGCAACGUUCCAAUGACGUGAGCCAUCGCGAUCGAGACUAGGCGGGUGCCAGGCGGGCGCCAGCGUGCACAUUGUUCUUGUUUCCUCUUUGGUGCUAAGGAGGAAAGCAUAGACGAAGAGUACCGAGGCGUCAAGCAAAGGAUUCUAUAUCGGUGCAACGAGACCAAGACCAGCAGGACAGCAAGACGGAGGUCACCAUGGAGCCCAAGGCGGCGUCACCACCAGAGUCUUUGGCAGGCGAAGACUGCUUUUGUCAGGAUAACUUGUACUAGCUGUCCCCUUUCAAAUUGGCCGUUGUAGGCUUCCUUCCCGCUAAAUAUUUGGGGAGAGGACCAGGGCCUCUGUAAAUAGGAUUAGCCACCACAGUAGAACGGGCAACCAAAAAUGAGGGGGAUCGACCUCAUCUUGGAUCGGAGCCAUUCCAUCCUUAGCCUCACACCAACUAAGCACAAGAACACCUCACCUCAAGAGACUGUUCUUCCCCUUGUACUGUUCAUCAUCAGCCCAAGGGGCAAUCCACCACACCACACUGGAGUAGGGUAUUACACCACAAUGGUGGCCCGAACCAGUAUAAAUCUUGUGUCCCUUGUGUUGCGAGUUCGUCGAGUUAGCCUUAGAGAUCGUGGCGAGGUUGAGGGCGUGAGUUGGUAGGGGGAUAUCUUCGCGCGCACCCCAGUGUUCGAACCUUGAGGUUUUUGCCAGAACCCGAUAUCCGACAAGCUGUGUCUCAACAAGCGUCUUAUUCUUACAGCCGCGAGCGGAUUCACUCAAUCCCUCGUCCAAGCCAGAGUUAUAGCAGGCACAUUGACUCACCGACAAUUUCAAGCAGUGAACAACACCGUAACCAGCCUCGUUUGCAUGAUCCGGCAUGUGGUGGUGCCGACACUCAGACUUUGGUGGAUCAGGACAGAGCGCCUCAGGAGGCCGAGCUGGCAGCUCAACUAGUGGCUCAUCAACAUUCUCGGGUUUAUCUAUCAGCUUCGGUGGAGGCAGGCAUGACCUCUAGAACCUUGGGCGUGCCAUGUUUAGUGCCGGCUCUGCAUAACGAGUGUUUGCCUAAGGAUUUCAAGGGUCCUCGUAAAGUGCCUAAUUAUACAGCAGAUCAACCCCUUGAAACUUGGAUUGAGAGCUAUGAGAUGGUGAUGUAGGGUAGAACCCUAAUCGGCUGAUCUUUCACGAAAGGAGUGGAUCCCGCGAUGAACACGAAGAACACGUGGGGGAAAACGAGGGGAAUCACGAGGGGAAACACGAGAGAAACACUAAAACCAACAAGAAUGAUCACACAUGUGCUAGAUCCUCGAAACACAAAGAGAGAUACAAGAUCCAUGAUCAACAAGGGACGAUACAAAGGGUAACCGGUUCUUCUCCGUGAGGAGGUCUUGAGUCCAAGGUGGAUCUUCUCCGUAGAGGGGUCGCGGUCUCUCUCAUGGAGUAGAUCCUAUAUGGAUGAGAGAAGCUCUAUCUCUCAAUGAGCUAUCACAACGCUAAGCCUAACUAGAAGGAGGUGGGGGAGUAUAUAUAGUCUAAGUCACGAAGGGGUAAGUGGGAAAGAGGGAUACAUGGGCCCUUGCCCGUUCACUGUGCGCAGACAGGCGCCAAAUGUCCGGCCAUUCGCGAUUGGCCGGAUGUCCGGGGCACGGCCCGGAUGUCCGGGCUGGCGAGGUCGGCCUCGGUGCUCUCUGGAUAGAGGGUGCCGAAUUUCCGGGCACGCGCCGGAUGUCCGGCCCGUUGCGGGGCGCCGGAUGUCCGGGGGUCGGCCGGAUGUCCAGCCGUUGUAGAGUCGCCUAGCGUCUGUCUCUCUCUGGUCUUCUUCUGGUUGGUGGCGCCAGAUGUCCGGGCUCUUGCCGGAUGUACGGCCGCUAUAGCUCUGCGGCGACUCCACUUGAGGCACUUCUCGAUCCGCUUCUGUGUGGACUUGUCCUAUGCUUCGAGCAUCUCCAUGGUUGUCUCCUCGGUUCCUGAGCUCACGUAGUGUCUUUACAUUAGGUAGCAACCAUGUCUCAUACGAGUGGGAAGGGGAAGCAUUUAGGAACGGAUUCACCUUGUGUCCGAUGGCAUAUGCUUGAGUGUACAUGGGGAUGAUCGUAGGAUGCUCCGCAUCAUCUUCCCUCCCUUGGGGAAGAUCCGACCUCGGACCGAAAACCUCUUCACCAUGGAAACGGUUGUCGUGGACGGACUUUGAUAGAGGCAAAGGUGUCCCGUCUUUCGAUGAGAUGGUGGCUAUCAUUUUGGAGGAAGUCGACUUUAACAAUCCGACUACGAACAUGCGAGGACGUCGCGCCUUAGCAAUCGCUAAACCAACUCCGAGAGGUUAUUGACCACACCGGAGCACGAUCAACCUGACCACGAAGGUCUGUUUCCUUCACGCAAACGAAGAACAAGCAAGAAACUGAGAUUGCAAUCUGGAUAUUGCGAAUAUAAAAUUAAAGCUUUAGUGAUCAAGGUGGGGUUCUGUGACGUCUUGGUCUGGUCGUUGGACACAAACGAAGUAUGCGAAGUUGCAGCUAUGGCGAACAUUUAAUCUAACCAAAACCCAAAGUCUAAGCGACGCCCUAAGGGCUGUAUAUAUGGAGGAAGAGGGGGGAAUUUCGUGGCCCUUGGAGGAGGGGUCCGAAAUCAACCCUAACUCUUGUUUCCCCACACGUACGGACUCUCAAAACAGCCUAUACUUCAGUAUUUCGAAAAUACAUGGGCUUGGCCCAAUAAUAAGAUGACGCAGCACCUAGAAUAGCCUCUGGACGAAAUUUAUGAAGUGGCAUCUUGUAUAUUUCGUCCAAGCCUUCAUGCACUCCUUAUGGUGGCUUCAAAGUCCUGAAAUUAUCACUUGUAACUCUGUUCUUGAUCCCCUUGCACAUGCCAUCAUCUCCAUGCUUGGUCUUGCUCCAGUGUUCAUCCCUCUUAUCCAUGCCAGGCCCUUCAUUUGUAAGCAAAACAAAUGUGUCCAAUUUAAGCAGCAUCAUAUUCUCAUGAACAUUAGAAUCAUUACCAAGAAACGAAAGUACCUGAUAAUUUAAUUGGCGUGCACGAGCUCUAGUAAUUGGUCCAGUAUGUAUAGCAGCAGGGGCUGUGGGUGUAACAAUGGUAUUGAUGUCCUCAUCAGACUUGAGUUGGACGAAGAGGAAGACAUGGCGCAAUCCAAGUACUCCAAAGUAUCGUUGGAGGAGUAUACAUGCAAAAAGAGCAAACACAAACAACACUCCAAAGUGUCGUCGGAGGAGCAUGACAUGUGUGAGCAUAAUCGCCAAAUAUGGAGGUGUCGGAGUACCAAUGCUCGAUGUCGUGGCAUGAGUGGAGGUCCGAAGGUGCAUCCAAUAAGUCUGAGCGCUCCUCAACUUGAAGGUCCAUGGGUUCCAUCUCCAAUGUCGGUCCUCCAUCCAAUAGAUGUAACAUGUAGACAAGAAGACAGAAACAAGAAUGAAAGAGUGACCCAUCCAAUAUGCAUAUUUGAGGAUGGCUCAAAGGGAAGGAGUUCACCUUUAGGAGAUUCUUGCAAAUGUUGGUGUUGCACAUCGUGUAUGCCUUCGCAUGACCAAGUUGUCGCAUAACGGCACCACCUUGUGAAUCCUCCAAAAUGAAAGAACAUGACAAACACUCAGAAAAACAAAUGAGGUUAGCGGAAGUGCAAAACCUAUCAUUCGUGUGGUAAAAUACCCAACAAGUGUAUGCAUCAUGCUCAUCAUAAGAAAGGACAAGGGAGCAUUUCAUUGUAUGGAGGCAUAUGAUGCGAGAACAACCAAAUACAAUAGGCUCAAACAAGCAAGCAUGCAUCACAAGUAAAGUGUCCAAGUCUCCAUGAUCAAUAAGCAUAGAUGCAACAAUUGGAGGCAAGCGACAAUGAACAAGAUGUAUCAUGUGAGAGGCAUGAACAUAUAUGUCAUCAACCCAAGAAAGCAAGUAAGAGUGUAACAUGGGUGAUGCGACAAAGCAAGCAAUCAUAUGAAUCAAGGCAAGCAAGCUAGUAGUGCGAAUGAUGAGGACAUUACUACCUUGGAUAUGACCAAAUAUAUUGCAUAUAUGUAUAUUUGUGAGGUGAUUUCUAAUGCAAAGUAUGCAAUAAUUUAUUUAUGUCAUCCAGGACAAAAAUACUUCACAAACUUUUGUGCCAUGCCUAAUUGCAGGUGUAUGGGACAUUUGUACAAUACACAUAUGAAGAUAAGGGAGAAAGAGAUGUUUACUUGCUGUUCAAAAAGUUCUCUCACAUCACUUUUGGCCCAAGACAAGAUAGAGUCCAAGUCUCUCACGUUCUGGAUUCAGAUUCGGACUACACAGACAUACCUGACUCAAAACGCCAACAACUUUUUCAUACAGACUCCGAAUUGAGUGAUUCUUUUUGUUGGAAAGUAGAUUUCAUGCUCUUUCCAACACAAUUGGAAUCACCUUAAAAUCCGUCCGGAGCGCUGAGUUAUGGACGAAACAAUCUGACGCUGCAGCAGAAUCUGAGUCAAACUACAAGUCCAAAGGUGUUACGUCACCUCCACUUGGGCCCAUGAGCCUUGUACGACCUAGGGUUGGUUUUAGGAUGCCUUGGGACGUUCUCCCACCUCCUUGGCCGCCACCCCUUGCUCCUAUAUAAGUAGAUCCAUCUAGUAGCUUUUUCCUUGGGAUUUGUUUAGUUAAAAGUUAGCCAUUGCAACUUCGUGUACUUCGUUUGUGUCCAACGACCAGACCAAGACCGCUUACGGAUCCCCACCUUUAUCAAUACUUCACAUAUACUCGCAAUAUUCAGAUUGCUUUUAUCAUAUUCUUACUUGUUCUUCGAUUGCUUGCAGGAAUAGACCUUCGUGGUCAGGUUGAUUGUGCUCCGGCGUGGUCAAUAACCUCUCGGAGUUGGUUUAGCGAUUGCUAAGGCGCAUCGUCAUGCACGUUUGUAGUCGGAUCGUCAAAGUCAUCUUCACCAAAUCGAUAGUUAUUAUCUCAUCGAAAGAUCGGGGCCCUCGCCUCUAUCAAGUGGUAUCAGUUUUCAGGUUGCUCGGUGAGAAUUUCUAGUUUUUUCUAGAUUAGAUUUAUUUUCUUACCUAUUGUCCAAGAAAAAGCCACAAAACAAAAGUUAGAUCUAUUCAUACUUUGUCCUAGCCAGACUGAGCCUUUGCAAUUUUUCUUUUCAUUGUUUGCAUUAUUGAAUUAUCGGUUGCAUCGCCGUGUCGAGUUGCUGGUCUUAGUGUCUAGUUCCUUUAGAGUUUCGAGUUCUGUUCACAUUAGUCACGCCGCCGCUGCAUCAUUAUCCCAUCCGCUGUCCACCAUCCCAUCCACCAAUUUCCACCACGUGCUACGCGCUGUUCAUUGUCAUAAUCAUAGUUGAGGUCACUCACAUCUUCGCCUGAUCCAAUCUGCAUCUUAUCUAGUUUGUCUUGGAAAGAGGGAGAAAAAGAAGAUAGAGAAAAAAAGAGAGAAAAA